AACGUAUUCGUUGCUGGAACAGACACAAGUGCAGCAACUGUGGUUUGGGCCAUGACCUAUCUAACGAAGAAUCCUAGAGCAAUGAAAAAAGUUCAACUGGAAAUUAGAUCGUUGAUUGGGGGCAACAAAGGCUUUGUAAAUGAAGAUGAUGUUCAAGAACUACAUUAUCUUAAAGCCGUAGUGAAGGAGACAAUGAGAUUGCAACCUACAGUGCCGUUACUACUUCCAAGAGAAGCAAUUCAAAAGUGCAUAGUAGAAGGGUAUGAAAUACCAGCUAAAACACGUGUUUUUGUAAAUGCAUGGGCGAUAGGGAGAGAUCCUGAAGCUUGGCAGAAUCCUGAGGAAUUUUAUCCGGAGAGAUUUGUUGAUAGUUGUAUUGACUUUAAAGGGCAAAACUUUGAGUUAAUACCGUUUGGUGCUGGCAGAAGAAUUUGUCCUGGGUUGAAUAUGGGAAUUGUAACUGUGGAGCUUGCACUUGCUAAUCUUCUUUACAAAUUUGAUUGGGAAAUGCCGCCUGGAUUGAAGAGCCAUGACUUUGAUGUUCUGCCCGGACUUGCCAUGCAUAAGAAGAACGUUCUUUCUCUUCGGGCUAAGUAUCAUGUUGAGUAGGUAAAUUAAGGCACCUCCAUCAAUAAGAAGGUAAAUUAAGGCACCUCCAUUAAUAAGGGUUUGAUCUAGCUAAAGGAAAUAUAUGUUAUGCGUCCUCAAUUGUGCUUCUCAAUGUUUUCUUUCUUUCUUCUUAUGUAUAAUGGAUGUUUACGCGAAUGGUUUUUAGUAAGUAAUUUUCUUUUAGUUCAAAAUUUUGGGAGGUAAGGGCUAGAAGAUAAUAGGGACUCUGCCCACUCUCUUAUACCUUUAAAAAAAUGAUAUGAAUGUGAGUAUCAAUUUAUCACAUUUAUUUUGUCUUACAUUUUUCUCUCUCCAAUUUCAAAUUAUAAAUGUAUAUAUAAAUACACGAAACGACCAAUCAAUAUUAUUUACUUGAUAUAACUAAUAAGUAAAUUCAUGGCUUUUUCUAUCACCCCUUUUUUUGUUAGGAGUAUCAGUAAAAUCAGCUCUGUAAUGCUCUACAUCUUUACCGUGAAAGCUGCAUUUUUAUGGAAUCAGCUUACAGUUAUGUACUAACCAAAAAAAAAGAAAAAGAAUAUUACAUCAAUUCUUCAUUGAGAUUUGAGACAUUUUCUUCCUCCAGAAAGUAUACAAGUUAAAAAAACUACACAUCAUUGUGAUUUCAUAACAGCAUCAUCCAUCACUUUCCUAUGAGCUUUUUAUGAGGCCGGAGGCUAAAGCACAAUCAGUUGAGCUGUUAUUGCAUUUCCCACAGCAAGACUGUGGCAAAUCAGUUGACUUUUGACGUUAAAUGGUGGUUUCGGCUUGCAGUCACUUGUGUUUGUUCAAUUUCAAUAAAGGAAAUUUCAUUUUUGUUAAAAUCCAUGAAUAUUAAUUACUACCUUGUUCGCUGUUCAGUAAAACUAAAACAACACCAAAACUUAAAUAUUUUCGCUAUAUCACAAACUUAAAUAUUUUUUUUUUCCCCCUAUACAUCCCUAGUAAGGUUGACAGAAAAAAACCAAAUUUCAAUCGGUAUUGGGAUCCCCUCCCGAAUGAUAGGGGAUUUGGCACUAAUUUUUAAAAUCGAUUCGAUACUAAUUUUAACAAACACUUGCUUUAAACCAACUUAUUCUUCUACCACAUAAUUUACUUAACUUUCAUUACAUGAAAAAUAGUCAUUUUUUUUACCUAACUUGUUCGACAAUAGUUAAAUAUGUUGGUGAGAGGGCAGUUUUCAAUUGUAAAAAUCAAGACAUCGAGAAAAACUAAAAUGGCUAUUUGGUUUUUCUAAUGAAAAACUAAAACAACUAUAUGGUUUAGCGUGAAAUUUUAGCUUCAUUGGUAUUUAUGACGAUUGUAACUAACCAUUAAAAAUGCAUAAUUAUUUUCUACCUGUAGUGAUUUAGGUGCUGUAGAAUUCGAUUAGCAACCUAAGCACUGCCCAAGAUCACAAACCAGAUCCACUAGAUGCUAAGAACCCAAACAAUCAAGCUUUAAGUUUCAACAAAACCUUUAACGAAAAUGGCUUAAUCAGAACACACUCAGAACAAGAAUUAGAAACCAAUCACACCCAAAAGAAAGAGAAAUAUUUACGUGGUUCGAUUGUGCAAAGAAGCACAAUCUACAUCCACGGGAGAAGCCCACAGAGCAAGCUUUAUUGAUGAUUCAAGUAAUCUUUACAGAGCAAUACAAGAGCUAACUACUAGGAUCAAGACGAAGCUUUCUCUCUAUCUUAACUCUCUCUAUCACGCUCUCAGAUCAUCCAUGAAACUGCUUCUUUAACCAGCUUAUAUAGCAGCUGAUAAAGAACCCAGAAGUUGCAGAUUUCCGCCACCUGGACUAACAGCUUCUAACUGAUUUGAUUCUCCACCCCCCGUGCACUUCACAUGUUUCACUUAAGCCUUUUGCCGAAACGUCUCCAGCUCCUGCCGUUUUGAACUUAAGUGAAUCACAUGCCAUGCUCGUGACUCCUGAGUAUAUUAAACAUAUUCCAAACGUUGUCGUUUAACAUGCUCAAGUUUUGGAUUCAACAUUUUAGUCCACACUACCGUUUCAAAAACAUAGUCGAAAAUAAAAUAAUAUUUUCAAUUAUUGUAAUUUUUAAUCAAAAAUAGGAAAAUAUUUUUAAACGUAACUAGGAGUUGGUUGAAAAAACCAUUAAAAAGAUAUAAAAUUUUAACAGACAACAUGGGCACCAAUAAUGUUUUUCACUACUAUAACUUGCAAGGUUGGUCAAAGCAAAAGCUGUAAGGGUAAGUAAAUAUAAUAUAAAAUUAUAUAUCAUCUAAAAGAAAAGUAAUUGUACGUUUUUUUUUCUUAGUUUACUAUUUUUUUUAUCAAACAUGAACUAGAUAAUUAAAUAAUUAAUUAAUUAAUGUAUUUUUUUUAUAGAAUUAAUUAAUGUACUUAAUUGAAAAUAAAAUUAACUUCUACGAUGCAAACAGAAUUUGAGCCCUCAACUGAAAAGAUAAAAUAUGAAAGUGCCUACCACUGGAGCAAGAAAUAAUUUUCAGUAAAUUAUAAAUUAAAUAAUUAUGAAAGGAUUGAUUUUUUCUAAAGGUUUUACUAGGUGCAACAAUGGAAUUGAAUUACCUUAUUUAACUUAGAAGAUAUUGAUUGAUUACAGCAUAGAUAUAAUGUAUGAUAUCUUAAAUUAAACAUCAAUUAACUUCGAAAUUAUAUUGUAGUUCAAAUAAACUCGAUAAUAUUUAUGAUCACAUUCUAUCUUAUACACAAACUUGAAACUUAUGUUAUUGAUUAAGUCUCAACUAUUUUAAUCAUUAUCAUUGAAUCAAUUUAGAAAUUGAUUAUCGAACUAGCUGGUAUUUUAUAGUUAAGUAUUUAAAGAAAUAAUGUCUAUGAUUGAUCAUAAUUAUUGUUGAAUCAAUUUGGAGACUAGCUAAUUUUCAAAUUAAUGUAAUUAUCUAGUGGUCAAUUUCAAUAAAUAGAGUCUAAUAGUUUUCAUAGUUGUAUUAUACUCAUAAUUGUGGAACAUGGAACGUAUACUUCAUACUUAAAACUUAUUGCAUAUAUUAAAAAAAAUAGAUGAUUAGUAAUUAACAUUUAAUUAUAGUUGAAAUAUUAAUUAUUAAAUUAGUCUAAUUGUCUAAGAACAGUCAUACAAUUAAUUUCAAUAGAUAACAAGAACUAUUGCAAUAAUUUUUUUAUAUUUUAAAACAUAUCUCAACUAUGAAUUAUUAAAACUAAUAUAGCUUCAUAGUUUUUAGGCCAAUAUCUAUUUUCAUCUUUUGUUUAUCUUAUUAAUUUAAAUUUAAAAUCUAUGUUAAAUAAUAAAGAUGUUCUAUCAAUCAAUUUAGGCUAUAGAUUAAUUAAACAAUCUAGUAAUCACAUAAUAGGUAUUACAUAUAAUUGUUCAAUUAUAAUAAACUUUAAAUUUGCAUUAAUGAGAUAAGAAGUUUUGUUUUGCAAUUAAUCGAAUCGUAUGCUAAUAAUUUUCAAUAUUUAUUAUUAUUUCAAUAUUUAUUAGUAUGAAAUAACUAACUUAGGAUAAAUAAAUUGAUUGAUUGAUUUUUUCUUAAAUUUUAAUAUCUUGUAUUAUCUCUAUUAACUAUUUGGUCCACUGCCACCUAACUAAAGUUUUUAGUGCAAGUGUAUGUGUACCUAUUCUCCACUCUCUCUAACAAAUAUCUCAAUUAGCCACCGAAUCAAAUCUAAUAAUAGAAUAAAUAAAUAAAAGCCACCGAUAUUAAGCGCAACGGAUGAAUUCAUCUCCUCUUCUUUUGUAUAUUCUCUCCAAAGCUUUCAACUCUAUUUUGGGGUCAUUUUCUUAAUUUUUUUUAAUUAAACUAUAUAGAAACUGGGGAGAUGUUUUCAGAUAUUUAUUAAUUUUUAUCCUUCACCUUUAAUUUCUUAAGUUUGACAUCAGUUAUUGUUGGCCUCACUCUCACAUGGUUGGUUUGAAGCUUUUCUAUCAUGUAGUUCGGUGAAAAUUAUUUGAUUAAUCGUGACUUGCAGGUAAGAAUUAUAUUAUUAUUUUGUGUUAUGUUUUUAAUUUAUUAGAUUUUAAUUCACAAUUUAUUUGAUAACAAGUGAAAGAGAUGUUAAUUAGGAUAGAUUCAUUUUCUUGUUUAGUAUAUAGGAUUUUCUACUUUAAUUUAAUUGUAUCUUAAUAUUUUUUUUAUUGUUAUCAAGGGAAUUAAGAGCCUAGGAAGAAAAAAUUAUGAUAUUCAACUUUCAUAAGGAUUCAGUUGCUCAAUCCACAUUGAUUCUAUCUUUUAUCAACAGCAAAAUAUCAUUGCAAGAGUGCCAUGUAGCCUUUGGUGUAUUUUAUUUUAUUUAAAUAUUUGUCAUGGAUUCAAUGAUUAAUACGUAUUUAUUUUAUCUUUUAGUAGCAUUAAGUUAUUGUAAUAGCAUCAUGUAGCUUUAAGUCAUUGUAAUGGUGUCUUGUAGCACUUGUACUUUGUUUGAGUUGCACAUGUAUUUGUUGAAAUUAUUUAUAAAAGGAUAUUUGUCGAUUGAUUCAUUGAUUUUUUUCUCCUGAGGCAAUUAAUAAAACCAUUUUCAGCCAUAUAUAUUUGUCUACUAAUUCAUCAUUUUUUUUCCUAGAGGCGAUUAAUAAAAUGAUUAUUUUAACGAUGAAGUAGAAUCAAAUGAAUUUCAAUAAUCAUCUUCUUGGAAAUACUAAGAUUCAAUUAGAACUAAUAUUUAUUCGACUAUAAUUUAUUUUUUCCAACUGUUUUUACCCCUAAAAAAUAGUGUAUUUUUAAUGGUAAUUAGUUAGUUGAAAUUGAUAUUGCAAAUACAACUGCUAUCGAAAAUACUCUUUUUUACUACUUAAGGUGGUCAUAAAUAUCAGUCAUUAGUCACAUGUCCAUAUUAAUUUUCAAUCUAUAUUUAUGUAUUUAUGAUUGUCAAUUUCGCACCAAAUAAGCAUAUUUACGGCGGCCAAUCGGUAAAAGUGUGUUUCUAACCUGGGUAUUAGCGAUUACCAGCGACUGAUUAAGGCCAUUGGAAAAACAUAUUUUCAACAGUAUAGCACUUGUUUCAACUGCAUUCAGCAGUUAUAAAAAGUUAUUUUUCUUGUAGUAUAUUUAUACCGCACAUUUUGACUACCACUAAUUUAAGUUGCCUGAUGAACAUAUUUACCACACAUAAAAACUAAAAUAUCUGAGAUAUUUCUUUAGAUAUUUCUAUAGAUAUUUUAACAUUUUAGAUUACAAUAUUUUUCAACACUUGAUUUAAUCACCAAUCGUUGACUAUGAUGACGACAAAAAAUCUAUUUCAUUGUGCUAACCUCACAAGUGAAAAGGACUCCACAAGAGUACAAAACAGAGCCUUGAUCUAAUAAUAUUACCGAAUAUAGCAUUUUGUUUCCUUAUAAAUGGAGAGAGGUUCUGUCUUUGCACUGCAUAACAGAUAUUAAUGGCUUUACUUAUCGUCAUCAACUUCCUUAUGUGUCUCUCAAUCUUCGUCAUCUUCUUUGUUUUGACAUCAAUUUUGUUGGCCUCACCCUUGGCUGAAAGCUUUUUCUGUCAUGUAGAACGGUGAAAAUUAUUUGAUUAAUUGUGGCUCGUAGGUAAGAAUAAUUAUUGUUUUUUGUGUUCAUGUUUUUAAUUUAUUGGAUUUUAAUUCACAAUUUAUUUUAUAACAACUGAAAGAGAUUUUAUUUAGGAUAGAUUCAUUUUCUUGUUUAGUAUAUAGGAAUUUCUACUUUAAUUUAAUUGUAUCGUAAUUUUUUUUUUAUAUAUAUUGUUAUGCGGUGAAUCAAGAGACCUAGGAAGAAAAAAUUAUGGUAUUCAACUUUCAUAAGGAUUCAAUUGCUCAGUCCAUAUUAAUUCUAUCUUUUAUCAACACCAAAAUAUCAUUGCAAGAGUGCCGUGUAGCUUUUGGUGUAUUAUUUUUUAUUUAAGUAUUUGUCAAAGAUUCAAUGACUAAUACAUAUUUAUUUUAUCUUUUAGCAAUAUUAAGUCAUUGUAGUAGUAUUGUGCAAUAGGGAUGACAAAACCCCGGGCCGGGUCCGGGUAUUGCAAUGACCGGACCCUACCCGGAUGCAACCGGUCCGGGUCCAGGUCUGGGCCGGGUUUUAAUCCGAGUACCCGAAUUUUAUAUUUUUUAAUAUUAUAUGUGUAUAUAUUUUUUAUUUUUUGGUAAUUUUAUAAGUUUUAAAUUUAUUUCAAUAAAAUUUGACAUGAAAAUAUAAACUUUAAGUGUUUAAAACUUUAUAUAUGUAUAAUAAAUUAGUCAAAUAAAUAUAAAUAUUUAAAAUAAUAUAUAUUUUAUAAUAUUUUUGUAAUAAAAUCCGGGUUCUGGGUUUAUCAAGUGAUGUCCAAGACCGACCCGGCUUCAUACCCGGCCCAUAACGCCCGGGUACGGUUCGGGUCCAGACCGGGCGGGUAUUUUUGCCACCUCUAUCUUACAUCUUUAAGUCAUUGUAGUAGUGUGGUGUAGGAUUUGUAUUUUGUUUAAGUUGCACAUGUAUUUGUUGAAAUUAUUUAUAAAAGAAUAUUAUUCCACUAAUCCAUUGAUUUUUCUUUUUUCUAUGGGGCAAUUAAUAAAAUCAAUUUGGGCCAUAUAUUUGUCAAUUAAUUCAUUGAUCAUUUUCCUAGGGGUCCAGCUACCUUGCGUCAUGGGUUUGGUACCGCAGUUGUUUGUCUCUUAGCGAAUGACCCUUUAGAUUGUACUGAAUGCAUUCUGCACUAUGGUCCAAUAAUUCUCUUUCAAAUACACUUAGGUCCCCAAAUCAAUAGCUCAAUUCUUCACAUUCAAUUUAAAGCUUUUUUUAACUUCAUUAUCAUUUAUUUAUCAAACAUCACAUACCUGAUGCAGAUCCACCAGGUGUUGAGUUUCUACCAGCAUUCACUCUUGAGCUUGAUGUUGUUUCCAAGUUCUUGCAACGCUUCUGCUUGGCACAGAGAAGUAAAUUUUGUAAGUAAGUACACUCAAUCAAAUACUUCAUACUUAACAUUGAUUGCAUAUAUUAAAAAAAAUGUUAGAUGAUUAGUAAUUAACAUUUAAUUAUAGUUGAAAUAUUGUUUAUUAAAUUAGUCUAAUUGUCUAAGAACGGUCAUACAAUUAAUUUCAACAUAUAAAAAAACUAUUGCAAUAAUUUAUUUAUAUUUUGAAACAUAGCUCAACUAUGAAUUAUUAAAACUAAUAUAGCUUCACAGUUUUUGCAUCAAUAUCUCUUUUCAUCUUUCGCUUAUCUUAUCAAUUUAAAUUUAAAAUCUAUGUUAAAGAUGUUCUGUCAAUCAAUUUAGGCUAGAGAUUAAUUAAACAAUCUAGUAAGCACAUAAUAGGUAUUAUUAUUAAUUGUUCAAUUAUAAUAAACUUUCAAAUUGCAUUAAUGUGAUAAGAAGUUAUAUUUUGCAAUUAAUCGAAUCAUAUGCUAAUAAUUUGCAAUAUUUAUCAGUAUGAAAUAACUAACUUAGAAUAAAUUAAUUAAUUGAUUGAUUUUUUCUUAAAUUUGAAUAUCUUGUAUUAUCUCUAGUAACUGUUUGGUCCACUUAAUUACUAAAAUCCCACCUAACUAAAGUUUUUUGUGCAAAUGUAUAUUUACCGUAACCCACGUUCUCCAUGCUCUCUAACAAAUCUCUCAAUUAGCCACCGAAUCAUAUCCAUUAAUAGAAUAAAAAUAAAAGCCACCGAUAUUAAGCACAAUGGAUGAAUUCAUCUCUACUUCUUUUGUAUAUUCUCUCUAAAGCUUCAAACUCUAUUUUAGGGUUAUUUUCUUAAUUCUUUUGAAUCAAGCUAUAUAGAAUCUGGGGAGAUGUUUUCAAAUAUUUAUUGAAACGACCCGCCCCGAAUCAACCCAGACGAGUUUAUCUAGUCUCAUCAAAACGGACUUGAUAAUAAUUUUAUUCGUAAAGAUUCUGCCGAAAAUUCGGCAGAGUCUCCUUUAUAUAUAUAACACUCCCAAUCUACAAAUAUGAAUAUAACACUCUCAAUACAAGUCAAUAUACAACAAACUCUAGUGCUCAACAUCCUCAACCAAAAUGCUGAGUUUUAUAUCUCCAGAGUCUCAAAAGAUAAUAUUAUAACUAAUAUUAAUAUCUCAAUUUAUUCUUAAUCCCAAAAAGAAUAAUAUAACAAAAGUAUACAAUCCCAAAAGAACAAGAUGACCAAGAUAUCCUAACAAAAACAUUUAUAUCUUCUAACACCAUCACGUGACCAAGACUCAAAAUAUAUUUACAGUCGCUGGGUCGGUCUGGUGUACCUGCAACCUCCUGGUGAGGGGGGAAAAAUAUAAUAAAAACGGGAUGAGUCUAAAACUCAGUGAGAUCAGUGAGUGGAUAGUAGUUUUGAAAAUUAAUUCUUACUUUAAAAGAAAUAAUCAUAUCAUUUCCAAACAUGAUUGCACUAAACCAUAAGCGAGAAACCAGAAAUAAAUAAUUAAACAUUUAAAUCAGAUUACUAACCAUGGAAAUCAUAUCACAAUAUCAUAUAGAAUUCACAAAUCUGAAAAUCAUCACCAAACAAGUACCCAGGGAAAUAAUCUCGUCAUAUCCGGACCUCAACGGACGAGCAAUGACGUACUAUCUGGGUAACGUCACGCCCCGGAGCUACACGGAUAGACAGGGAAAUACCAUCUCAUAUCUCAUCAUAUCCGUGCAUGCAUAAUCUAGUCCCCAAAUGACAAAAACACCCAAGCACAUGGCCCAAAGCCUAUGUGUGUACUCAGACGGGCCCCAAAGGCCUGUAUCUCAUCUGUAUCAUUUGUAUCUCAAUAUCUGUUUGUAUCUUAUAUCUGUAUCUCUGUAAUCAUCAUACCGCAUGCAUAUGCCCCCAAAAGGCAAAAACGCCCAAACACAUGGCCCAAAGCCUCUAUGUGUGUUCAGACGGGCCCCAAAGGCCUCUCAUCUCAUAUCACCUGUAUUACUGUAUCUGGAGGAGAAGGAUACUGUCUAAUGAUUUCAAAAACAAUCAUUAUACUCAUAUUCACAUACCUUUUAAUCAUACUUUAAAUCAUACCACAUUCAAAUCCACUUUUCUUAUCUUUAAAAUAUUAUCAUGCUUUAUUCAAAGUCGAUACGCAAAAUCAAUAACCAAACAUUUUAAUAAAAUACCAAUGCGUGAAUAAAAAUCCAUUUCGAGGAAAUCAUUAAAUCAGAACAUUUAAAAUACUUAUUUCACAAACAUGCAUUACUAUCAUAAUUAACUAUGAAAAUAGGUUUUGUAUAUUCCACUCACAGUGACGGUGUUCACGGUCGGUUAUCGUCCACGUCCGCGGACCGGUUCUCGCUCGCGGAUCCUCCUAAAUCAAGGAAACGACAUAAUUAUUUUCCGUAAAUCGGAAUUACGGCUAAAUUUAUGCAAUAAACUCGAAACGAACAUCUAUCCAUAAUUGACAACUCCCGUGUCCAUAAAAUUACUAAAAUGCCCUUGAGUCCGUAAAUCAUUAACACAUACUCUGAAAUUGUACAACACCGAAUUACCCUCGGAAUCGUAAUUACACCCACUCCUCAAUUCUAGGAAUUACUAAAAUAUCCACAGGCUCAGAAAUUACAAAAUUGCUCUCAUAGUGUGAAAUUACCAAAAUGCCCUUGCCGGUCAACGGUCACAGGAAUUUGGUCAACGCUGGUUAGGAAGCUCAAAUCUGAAAGUUCAAAUCACGCUGAGUUCAAUGGUACCGGCGGUGAGCUCCAUGCGCGGCAACGGCGCCGGAAUCGAGCUCGACAGCCGUGAAUUCCAACAAUCGACCGGCGGCAAAAUAGUGACUCUCGGUGCCUAUGGAUGGUCGGAAAUGGAAGAGGGAGUCGUGGGGAACAAGAUCCAACCGGUGGUGUCACCCAAAACCGGCGAAAAUCCCGGCGGAGUAAAGUGAAACAAUCGCGGGUUCAAGCUUCAAUUGCCGGCGUUCCGGUUGGUUUUCGGCGGCGAGGAUGGCACGGGAACGACGGUCGGCUUCUAAGCUUCAGAUUGGUACCAAGCUCGGCUGAAACGGUGGCCGGAAAUGGGAGAUAUGGUCGGGUCAAGGUCGCCGGUUCCGGGUCGAGUUUUCGGGUCCGUAGUUGGAUCGGUUUGGCAGUUUCCCUUCACUCUCUCUCACACGUGCAUGUUUUUACCCUGUUUCCAGCUUAUUCUUUUACUUAUAAACUCCUUAACCGCCUCAUUUUCAUUUUGAAAUUCACAUAUGUUACAUUUAUUACCUUUUGUCCUUCACCUUUAAUUUCUUAAGUUUGACAUCAGUUUUGUUGGCCUCACCCUUGGCUGAAAGCUUUUUCCGUCACGUAGAUCGGUGAAAAUGAUUUGAUUAAUUGUGGCUCGUAGGUAAGAAUAAUUGAUGGUUGUCGAAGUCAGUAAAAAUAAAUACUUACUCUAAAUAAAUUGUGUAUAGUGAUUGAGCAGGGUCGUGUCCACAGAGAUCGGUAAUAUUUAAAUCUUUUUUAAAAUGUAAAUUGCAAAAUGGGGGGAUUGUUGAUAAUAAUAAAAAUCAAAUUAAAAUUGGGAAAAGCUUUAGUUGAAGGAAUUAACUCAGCUUGAUUCGACUACUGAUCAUUAAUUCAAAUAUAAAUCAUUACUACUUAUGAAUAGACCGGUUAUAGCUACUGAGACCCUCUAAUAGCUAAUCUCUCAUUAACUAGUCGAUAACCAAGGUACGACCAUUGGUUAUUUCCCUAAUCAAUAGAUAACCCUAGAUACGAUCAUAAAAUUUAAUCAAUUGACAGCCUGAAAAAUCAGAGAGACCCAAAUCCUAAUCAACAAACGCAUACGAUGGUUCAUUUAAAUUAGAUUGUUUAUUCUCAUAACACAACGCACUACUAUGCUAUUUGUCACAAAUAUUAAAAUCUUCAUACGAUGAAUCCUUUAAUUGACAAUAGAUUAAGUUGAUAAUUAAAUAGUGGCCAAUUAUCUAAUUAACAAACAUAAUCAUGACAAUAAUUUAGAGAAUAAACAAAUACCCAAAAAGUAAUAAAAUAAUUAAAGCAUAAGAAAGAUCUCACAGUAAUGAUGAAUCAAAGCUUCAUUAAUCUUCAACCAGAAUAAUAGGUUUAGUUAUUCACAGAGAAAAGAGAAAAAUUUAGAUCUAGGGUUUUUUUUUUACAAUAGAUUCCCCCCUUUAAUUCUCUCUCCCCUCUUCUCCUCUAGAGUUCUUUUUAAAAUAAAAUACUAAUAUCUAUUAUCUAAAUAUUAAAUUCGGAAUUACAAAAAUAACCAAAAAGAUAAAACACGUUAAACUAAUAACUGCAGAUCCGUAGUUGACAAUACGCGUCCACGCCUUAUCAACAAAGUUCUUCUGAAGCUCAUAAUUUCUCCAGGAAAACAAUCAUCCUAAAAAAUCAUCUUGUAGCUCAACUUUAUUACCAAUCAAUAGAAUUACACCUACAGAAAUAAAACACAAGUAAAUCACUAUUAUUAAGUGCAAAACAUCGAUAUUAAAGAAAGUAAACAAUGCAAAACUAGAGCAUAAAUUGCACUCUAACAAUAAUUAUUGUUUUUUUGUGUUCAUGUUUUUAAUUUAUUGGAUUUAGUUCACAAUUUAUUUUACAACAACUGAAAUAGAUGUUAAUUAGGAUAGAUUCAUUUUCUUGUUUAGUAUAUAGAAUUUUCUACUUUAAUUUAAUUGUAUCUUAAUUUUUUUUUUUGUUUAUAUAUUGUUAUGCAGUGAAUCAAGAGACCUAGGAAGAAAAAAUUAUGGUAUUCAACUUUCAUAAGGAUUCAAUUGCUCAGUCCACAUUAAUUCUAUCUUUUGUCAACACCAAAAUAUCAUUGGAAAGAGUGCCGCGUAGCUUUUGGUGUAUUAUCUUUUAUUUAAUUUUUUGUCAAGGAUUCAAUGACUAAUACAUAUUUAUUUUAUCUUUUAGCAACAUUAAGUCAUUGUAGUAGCAUCAUGCGGCUUUAAGUCAUUGUAGUAGUGUCGUGUAGGAUUUGUAUUUUGUUUAAGUUGCACAUGUGUUUGUUGAAAUUAUUUAUAAAAGAAUAUUAUUCCACUAAUCCAUUGAUUUUUCUUUUUUCCAUGGGGCAAUUAAUAAAAUCAAUUUGGGCCAUAUAUUUGUCAAUUAAUUCACUGAUCAUUUUCCUAGAGGGGAUUAAUAAAAUGAUAAUUUUAACGAUGAAGUAGAAUAAAAUGAGUUUCAAUAAUCAUUUUCUUCGAAAUACUAAAAUUUAAUUAGAAAUAUAAAUUUUUUCAAACUAAAAUAACAUAUUUUCAAUUGCAUAACCAAUUAGAACUAAUAUUUUUCCGAUUUUUUUUCAUCUGUUUUUACCCCUAGAAAAUAGUGUAUUUUUAAGAGUAAUCAGUUAGUUGAAAUUGAUAUUGCAAAUACAACCGCAAUCGAGAAUUCUCUCCUUUACUACUUAAACUAGAAAAUAGAACCGCGUUUCACGCGGCUUUGAAAAAAUUUAGUAUUAUCUUUUUUUCUUACUUUACACUUGAUGAAAUUGAUAAAAAAUAUGAAUUGAUUUUUUUUUUAAGAUGAGGCGGCCUUAUAAAAAAUAAAAAAAGAUAUUAGCCAGCAAUACAAAUAAAGAAGCAACGCAAGAUAAAGAAUAAAAUGAGAUAAUAUAUUAUAGAGUGAUUUUAUUCAUUCUAAUUGUGUGUGUACAAAAUAAAAAGAUGAGCUCUCCUUUUUAUAGUUACAUAAUCACUCCAUGAAAUUAAUGAAAAAUUAUGGAUCAUAAUUCAUUGUGAGAUAGUGGGAGUUAUAGGGAAGCUAAAGGUUGCUAAUGGGAGAUAGUGGGGAGACUAAGAGAUAUAUGUUAUGAACAUCUACAUUUAUUUUAAUAAAUUCAUAACACUCCCCCUUGGAUGUUCAUUACAAAGAAUAUGCCUCAUUAAAAUCUUUACAUAAUUGUUAUUGUGUAAUAACAAUCAAAUUAAUUAUGAAAAGAUGAAAAGCCAAAUCUAAAAGAAAAUUUAUCUAUUUAUUAGAUAAUAGAGAAUAUACAAAGAUGAGAAAUUGUGAUGCCACAUCACCUCCUCAAAUCCCAACUUUAUAUAUAUAUAUAGAUUGGUCAUGAAUAUGAGUCCUCAGUCACAUGUCCAUAUUAAUUUUGAGAAAUUUAUAAAAAUGACCAUAGAACUUUUACGUUUUUCAACUUUAACCCCCCAAAAUUUUUUCUAUCAUAACUAGCCAAAUAUCUUAUUUUUGGACUAGAUUACCCUCAUCACUUUCAUCAAAUUCACAAAGGUAUGCCACUUUUUCAAUUCCAGCACCACUAAAUACGAAUCUUCCUCAACAACUUAACAAACCUUCAUCACUCUCAACAAACUUCAUCACUCUCAAUAAAUCAACAAAUUCCAUCAAACAAACAUUGCAUAAUUGAAGAUACAAUCAUCAAUUGGAGAGCUUCUUAAAAUUAGUUUAUGCUCUUACACAAUGUAAACCUUUAAUCUAUUGAUUUUAUCAACUAAGUUCGAAAUUAAAGUGGGUUUUGUUGCAAAUGUUGUUAUUUUUCAUUCAUAAAACAAUGUGAUUUGUUAAAGUACUUAGUUUGAGUUGAGAAAUGAAGAAAAAUCAUUAAAAAUACAGAAAAAUCGGGCAAAAAAUGAAGUCCAAAACAAGUGAGACAAGCAGUGAGACAUGUGUCUGUCUCACAUAAACCCACUGAUUUUAUGGAAUAUAUGAUUUUGGAUUUGAUUUGUCUCGUCGUAAGCUUCGAAACGGUAUAAUUAUUACAAUAUUUUGGCUCACUACUCCGAACCCCAAUACACAUAAUCUCUCAAAUCACUAGAACAAGAGCUUUUAUUAUUUAAGCUCUACAAAACUCUCUGCUCUACAGGAAAUGCUUCUCACAAAAUUGGAUGCAGAAAUGAGGAGGAGGAACCUCUUUUUAUACCAAAACUUGGCUACUGUUCAUGCUUUAUUUAAUUAUUAUUUUUUUUCUUCUUCCUUUUCGGUCCGGCAUUCAUUUUUUCUUCCUCUUUUGUCUUCUUUCUUCUUUUCUUUUGUUCCGGUCAAAGAAGCAACCAAUGCAUUCUUCUUCAAAAUCAGUGGGCCCACCUUCUAGAAGGGUGGUGCCCACAUGCCAUUUUCAUCAUUAAAUAGAUGAGGGUUGGAAUAGAAUCUUUUCAAUGUGAAUCAUGAAGGAUCUAUUCAAAAUAAAAGUGAUAAAGAUUAAGAAAGAACUUAAGAAGCUAAGAGCUUUUAGAAGUCUUUGAAGAAAUAAUAUUAAUUUGAAAGGAAAAGAAUUUAAAAUGAAGAAGAAAAAGAUAAUUGAUAAGAAGUAAGACUAACUGUACAUCUGAUUGAGGAACAGGCUUGUUAAUUCAAACUAUUAUAACCAAUUGGGAAUUGAAUUAAGUUAACAGUUAACUCGUAAUUGAAUGUCUAAACUAACAAUGUAUACAAUUACAGAUGAGACUAUAAAAUUGCAAAAAUACUGCUGAUUGUGAAUCAAUUUGAACAUGCCAAUCCUUAGGAAUUCCUUUCAGUAUCAUGGGAUUUAGAUCUCAAUUACCUUUUUUAUUUGAGUACGAUGACAUCCCGAACUAUCAAAAAUACCCACUUGUCCAAACGUGCCUAUGUCCACUUUAUCAUUUAUAUAUGAAAUGUUCUAAUUAAAUGGAGCAAGUCCACAUAAUACAAUCAUUUUCAAUUACCCAGCAUUUGGAAUACAGAUGCUUUGUUUCUUCGUUUUUUUUAUUUUUUGUUCUUUUUUAUUUACUUGAUACAACUAAUAAGUAAACUCAUAGCAUUUUCUAUCACCUCUUUUUUUUUUGGGAGUAUUAGUAAAUCAACUCUGUAAUGCUCUGCCUCUUUACCAUAAAAGCUGCAUUUUAAUGGCAUCAGCUUACAGUUAUGUGUACUAAGUAAAACAAUUCUUUAUUGUGACAUUUUCAUCCUCCAGAAAAUACAUAAAUAAAAUAAAGGAAAUUUUAUUUUUGUUAAAAUCCAUGAAUAUUAAUUACUACCUUGUUCACUGUUCAGUAAAAAUAAAACAACAGUUUUUUUUUUUUUUAAUUUAACAAUAUUGUGUUAGAAUAUACUUCCCAGGUAAGGUUGAUAGAAAAAACCAAAUUUCAAUCAGUAUUGGGAUUCUGUCCCAAAACAAGCACUUACUUAUUACAACUUUUACUAACUUAUUUUUCCACCACACAAUUUACUCAAUUUUUAUUUAUACCACACAAUUUAACUUAUUUUAACUACCACUAACUUAAGUUACUUGGCUAGGGUAAAAUUAUGUUGCAACUGUGGUAUGAUACCACAAUUACAAUCAAUCAUUAAAUUUACAGUUGUACAAUUGUAUUUAUUGGACCUAAUGAUUAAAAGUAACUGUGGUAUCUUGCAACAUAAUUGGACCUACUUUGCUAACAUAUUAUAGAAACCAACAUCCCAGAUUUUUCUUAAGAUAUUUCUACAGAUAUUUUAACAUUUUAGAUUAUAAAUUACUUUUCAACACUUAAUUUAAUCACUGAUUGUUGACGACGACGAAGCCAACAAAUUUGUUUCGUUGUGCUAAUCGGACAAGCGAUAAGGACUUCACAAGAGUACAAAACAGAGCCUCGAUCUAAUAAUAUUACUGAACAUAGCAUUUUUGUUUCCUUAUUAAUGGAUUUGUUUCCUUAUUAAUGGAGAGAAGCAGUUCUGUUUUUGCAGUGAUUAAGCGCAUAGAAGAUAUUAAUGGCUUUACUUAUCAUCAUCAACUUCCUUUUGUGUCUCCCCUUCUUCCUCUUCUUCUUUGCUUUGCAAAGGCUCAUAACCUCAAGAAAUAAUACUAAAUUACCACCCGGCCCCUGGGGCCUUCCCUUAAUCGGUAACUUACACCAGUUUGAUGUCUCAAAGCCUCAAGUGUCAUUUUGGGAGCUGUCACGGAAAUAUGGCCCCCUCAUGUCCUUGCGUCUUGGUUUUGUGCCAUCCCUAGUAGUUUCCUCAGCAAAACUGGCUAAAGAGAUAUUAAAAACCCAUGACCUUCAAUUUUGUAGCAGGCCAGCCUUGGUAGGACAACAAAAGUUAUCUUACAAUGGUCUUGAUUUGGCGUUUUCACCCUAUGAUGGUUAUUGGAGAGAGAUAAGAAAAAUUUGUGUCAUUCAUCUCUUUAACUCUAACAGGGUAGAAAAUUUUCGACCCAUUAGAGAAGAUGAAGUUUCAAGAAUGAUUGAAAAGAUUUCAAAAUCAGUUGCUGCUUCUAAUCCCGUAAACUUAAGCGAGGUAAUGAUGUCUCUUACCAGCACCAUUAUUUGUAGAAUUGGAUUUGGCAAGAGGUAUGAUGACGAUAAAGCAACAAGUGCAAGAAGUAGAUUCCAUGCCCUGCUUAAUGAAACUCAAGCCUUGUUUGUAAGCUUUUUUGUUACAGAUUAUUUUCCUUUCAUGGGCUGGAUUGAUAAGCUCACAGGAAUGAUGCAACGCCUGCAAAAUAACUUCCAAGAACUCGAUAGAUUCUACCAGGAACUCAUCGACGAGCAUUUGGAUCCAAACAGAACAAAAUCAGAAUUGGCGCAACAGGAGGAUAUAAUUGAUGUUUUACUUCAAAUACGAAAAGAUCGUGGAUUUAAAGUUGACUUGACUUUGGACCACAUCAAAGCGGUGCUCAUGGUGAAUAAUUUUAUAAAUAGUUAUAUGUAGACUCGUGCUCAGGCGCAGACUUAAAAUUUUGUGCAGAUACCCAAUUUUACAGUCUUGUAAAAUGGUUUAUAAUGCUGUAAAGUGCCUUUGAUGUCCGCCUGAACAUGAUUAAUUUAAUGUAAUUUUAUUUGCUUUUAACUAAUUUACUAUGUAUGUAUGUAUGUUGUUUGUUUUGCAGAACGUACUCGUUGCUGGAACAGACACGAGUGCAGCAACUGUGGUUUGGGCCAUGACUUACCUAAUGAAGAAUCCUAGAGCAAUGAAAAAAGUUCAACUGGAAAUCAGAUCGUUGAUUGGGUGCAACAAAGGCUUUGUAAAUGAAGAUGAUGUUCAAGAACUGCAUUAUCUUAAAGCGGUAGUGAAGGAGACAAUGAGAUUGCAACCCACAGUACCAUUACUAAUCCCAAGAGAAACAAUUCAAAAGUGCGUAAUAGAUGGGUAUGAAAUACCAGCUAAAACACUUGUCUUUGUAAAUGCAUGGGCGAUAGGAAGAGACCCUGAAGCUUGGGAGAAUCCGGAGGAAUUUUAUCCGGAGAGAUUCGUUGAUAGCUGUAUUGACUUUAAAGGGCAACACUUUGAAUUAAUACCGUUUGGUGCUGGCAGAAGAAUUUGUCCUGGGUUGAAUAUGGGAAUCGCAACUGUGGAUCUCGCACUUGCUAAUCUUCUUUACAAAUUUGAUUGGGAAAUGCCGCCUGGAAUGAAGAGCCAAGACUUGGACUUUGAUGUUCUGCCGGGAAUUACUAUGCAUAAGAAGAAUGCUCUCUCUCUUUCGGCUAAGUAUCAUGAGUAGGUAAAUUAAGGCACCUCGGACAAUAAGAGUUUGAUCUGAACUAAAUAUAUGUUAUAGAGAUUGCAUGUAUGUCCUGAAUUGUGCUUCUCAUGUUUCCUUUCUUUCUUCUUAUGUAUAAUGAAUGUUGAUGUCUAAGUGCCCAUAGGCUGAGUGGUUUUUAAUAAUUAAAUUUCUUUUAGUUCAAAAUUUUGGGAGGUAAGGACUAGAGAAUAAUAGUUACUCUGCUCACUCUCCUAUACUAAAAAAAAAAGGUUGAUAUGAAUGUGAAUAUUAAUCUAGUACGUUCAUUUCAUCUCAUAUUUUUUCUCCUAUAUUUUUUUCUUUAAAUUUAACUUCUAUCACUUAACCUGCUAUCUUUUUAUAUGAUUGGAUAGAGAUUGAAAUUUUUGCUGUUCCAUCUCAAUGUUAAUGCUUAUAUUAUCUUCACACCUUUACUGUAAUUUUUUACUUUUACUAUUAGAUGCUGAUAGGGUCUUUUCUUGGAGAUUGCUUCACAAAAAAAAUUCUGAAAGAAGAUUUUGUUGAUCGGAUAGCAAGCUUAUCCAUAUAGUUUAAUGGAUUAUCUGCAAGAGCUCUUUUUAGUGCGCAUACAGUUGUCCCUUCAUGUUAGCAUAUUCAUUCUGUCGUCAAUGAACUUUUGCAUUUAAAUGGUAUCAGUUCAAGUGAUGAAUGAAUUUUACCUAUUGCCUAUCUUGGACUAAAUUUAAUUUCAAAAAAUGAGCUUCCAGCUUAUGACUUAUACGUAUCUUGCACUUUGGUUUUACGAUCACCAUUGGAUGGAAGAGUGGCUCGAGUUUGUUAAUUGCUUCAGUCCCAGGACUAGUGUUUGGAAACAUAAAAUUUCUCAGUUCAGCAGCUAUAAAUCUGUUUCAUGAUUGUUAUUGCACACUAUUUCCUAUAUUUUUGUCUCCAUGCUCAUACUGAAUUAGUGGUGCAUUUGUCAUCUUUCGCCUCUCAUUAAAAUGUGCUUAUUAUUUUUUAUUUCAAUCGUAGGAUGGGAAGAUUGAUACUGAUUCCAUCUACAAUGGGUUUAAAGACAACGUGAGGUUAAUGUGGGAGCGUUUCUUGUCAUCCCAGCAAAUGUUGACAUAAACAACAGACUGCAAGCUUCCCCUACUCUCUGUUCAUAUUUGCAUUUGUGUGCAUCUUGUACUUGUUGUUGCAGAAAGAUGAAUAUGUAAGAAUAAGAUCGUGUUUGUAUGCAAUGGUCAAAUGUUUUUGCAAAAAAUGUCGUUGCUUGAGUUCCUCAAUUCUCAUUCUGAACUUCAAAUUUUGUACAUUUCUUUAACUUAAUUUUUUUUUUUUCUGUGUAAUAGUAGUAUAAGUUUGGUAUCAAAAUUAAGCUAGUGACAUACUUGGAUCACUUGGGAUCCACUUGCAAAUGUAUUUUGAAGAAAAGUUUUCUCCCCGCCUUUUAUGUAAUCACACCCACCAGUAAUAUGGUAAUUUAUUGAAAGGUCCUUGAUGCCCGGUAAAAGUUAUAAUUAAAUUAAUAAACUUAUCUUUUUAAAUUAAUAAACUCAUCUUUUUGAAUAAGUUCAUCAUUUUGUACGUAUAUUAGUUUUUUUUUUUUAAAUUCCUUUUAUUUCUAAACUAUUGGUUGGAAGCAAAUAUUUCACUGUAAUCUCCUGUCGACCAAAGGAGAUGCCUUUCCCAAAGCAAGAAAAGAAAACACAAAAAGCCCACUUCAAAAACUUGUGCAAGAAGGAGAUGUGAUUACGCUGUCUUUCUGUUUCUUGGUGCGUGUAUAGAUAUAUACAUACACACAUAAGUCUGAGGACCAGCUGGCCAACAGCCCACUAGGAAGCAAUUUUAAAAUUUUUGGUCAGUAUUGUUCUUUAUAUCUUAUGAAUUUUUCCUUCAAUUAUUAUAUUUUCACUCAGUUUUGUUUUUGGGCACGCGUUAUGUGAUUUUCUUUUGAUGAUUUCCGUGGCUUCUUUUUAGCUCUUAUUUUACUGUUUCUACUGGUUAGUUUAGCUACUGUCUACUGAGAUAAAAUUAUUUGCUUGAAUAACUUAAUCUUUUGCUAUUUUAUUACGUUCAGUUUAUAUACAGUUGAUUCAUUGUAACAAAUGUUAUCAUAAAUGAUUCUUGAGUAAUUUCAUUUAUUUACUUUUUCUUCUUUCAUAGUUGGCCUGUACGGUAUCAUUUACUUUUAUCUUUUUUCAAAUUUCUUUUAAUCUACAGAAUGUUUGUUUUAGUCCUGAUCUUGGGUUACUGAAAUGUUUCAUUCCCUUUUCCUAAGUAUUUUUGUUGCUUGUUUAUCGGGCAAUACUGCAACAGUGAUUUUAAUUCACAAAAUUCUGUAAAUACUUAUUAUUCUUAGUGUGGUUUUAAGGUAGAGUGAAGUUAAUAUUAUCAUAAUGGCUUACAUUCCUCCACAUAUGAGGCAUACGAAGGACCCCCAGAGGCCAUCUCCAGUUCCAGAGAUGAUUGUGCCUAAAUUCAACAGAAAAUUAAACUUGGGAUCAUCCAAGCAUAAUGCAGACAUAAGUGGAAAGAUCGUGUAUGCAGAUCCUGCCAUACACAGGUGGUUCAUUUGUGGCUUGGAUAAUGAUAGCAGCAGUCCUUCUGUCCGCUUUGUGGAGUUUUCAGACGACCCUGUUGAGCAUAAAAAAUCGACGACCAUUAAUCUGGCUCGAGGUUACUGAUCUGCAUUUGUAAUUUUAUCUUAAAUAUGUUCUACUUUCUUUCUUUAUUUAUAUCUGGUGCUAACUUUAGUUAUAUUGACAUUUGGAUUUUGGGUUGGUAGAUAACGAUAAAUUGUGUGGGAAUACAUCAAGAAGCCCAUGGGAAUCGAUAGCAGAAAAUGUAUGGCCAGAUGUAUUGAGUGCUUGUAAUAUUGUCAAGAACGAAAUGGAGGAAAAGCCAACAAUGGUUGCUAGAUUUGGCCAUCAUCUUUUCCGUGAGUAUGUGAUCUGGUUCCAUUGCUGUAACAGCUUGAAUUUUUUAUUAGGUCAUUCCUUUUCUUUGGACUUUGAAAUUAAAGCAGCAAAAAUGCAUAUUCAUACUUAAUUCUGACAGAAAUCUUAUGGUCAUAUAAGUGGUGGCAGCUAAAAUUAUGAGCUUUACCAUUAACCCUACCACCAGCUGUGGAUGACUGUAAAUCGGAUCUCUAAACCAGGGACAAAAGUUAAAAUUGCUUUUAAAAGCCAAAGAGGAAAAUGGCAAUUUAUAGUGCAUGCACUUCUUUCAGACUUGUAUCUCAUAGAAGCUUUCAUGGCAUCUGGAAUUUGGCUUUGGCUUUGCGUAGGACAUUUCAAUUGUUGCUGGUGGAAACAAAUAUAUCCAUUGUCUUAGUUUUGCUUGAUUUCCGGUGCAAGAAACAAAUAAAUUUGUUGCCGUGGCCAAGUUUUGUUGUUUGAUAUUUCAUUGGGACAACAAAGUAUACCACUGCUUCGCCUAUUUCUUACAUCUUUGCAUCAUAUAUUUCCAUUCUUCUAUCACAUCUUUGAAGCUUCUACUAGUUCUCAUAUUAGAAGCGCCUCAAAGAAAUAAUUAUUAUAUUAUUCGUCUUAAUGAAGGAGUGACAUACUGAGCUUAGAAAAUGCGAAAGAAGGUCAGGUUGCUGAAUCUGCUUUGAGCCCACUGAGGAGAUGCUUUUACACUGGUGUCCCUCCUACAUACAUGGGAAAAAUUGUAAAUGAAGUUGUGCCAAAAAUUGGGGUUGGUUUUGUAGAGAACAAGGAUAUAUACCAUGUCAAGGUAGUUCUCCUGCAGUCCUGCUAAAUACUUUAGUAGUCAUGACCAAGUUUCUUUUAUCUCUCAAUUAAUUAGCCAUUGAUUCCCCCCCCCCCUUUCUUUUUCUUGUGUAGUUGUCUGAUGGCACACGACAAAUUACGUGCAAAUGUACUGUUAAAGAAGAUCAAAAGCUUCAUCUCUAUAAGGCAAGUCUUUUGCUACUGGCUGAGUAUUAUUUAUGGACAACGGGUCCAAGUUUAUAAGUUGCCUCUUGUGUUAAGGAGACUUUUGCUAGUGGAAACAUUGAAACAAGACUUAUGAUGUUUUGAUUUGAAUGAUAUAAUCUUUUCACUGUGAAUUAUGAAGGAGAUGUCGAAUAUAAGCGAUAGAUAUCAAGAAAGAGACGAAACCUUUGUGUCUCAAAAGAACCUUUUAGAAGUCUCUCCAGGAAUAAUCUCAGUUAAGAGGAAAAGAAUUUAAAAUGAAAAGAAGGAAGAAAAUUCUCAAGAAGUAAGACUAAUUCUACAUCUAAUUGAGGAACAGGCUUGUUAAUUUAACAAGGAAAGCUCCAGUAGCUAUUUAUUAUAAACCAAUUAAAAAUUGAAUUAAAUUAAUAGUUAACUUGUAAUUGAAUGUCUAAUCCAACAAACUAUGCAUAAGAUUACAGACGUAACUAUGUAAUACAAAAAACCUCUGCUUAUUGUAGACCAAAGUGAAUAUGCCAAUAUUUAGGAAUUUCUUUCAGCAUCAUGGGAUUUAGAUCCCUAUAAUCUUUUUUUAUUUUAGUGUAGUGACGUCCGGAAGACCAGAAUUAUCACGUACCUCGUACUAGUCGUUUUAUUUAUUUUGUCUUUUAAAGCGCCACAUUAUUUCCCAUACAGUCAUAAUAUAUCUAUUUUUUGUUUAUUUAUCGUUGCCGUGUGUGGAGUCUCAUCUUGAAUAUGAACAUUUUUCCGGUAGGUCGAACUGAACUCUGUUCGUCACAUGGUAGCAGACAUGUUAUGCGUUCAUAAAAAUCUAGACCUGAGGUUGGCACUAUGUUCAAAGAGUACCUUAUCUGCUCUCUCGGUAAGUCAAUCUGCUCCUCCGUGCAUGUUUUAGCUGGACUUUUAAGUUACGCCUUCUUUUUUCCCCUUUUUAUUUUAUUUGGUCAUUUGCUUGUUGGAAUCAUCAUCAUUACAGAAUGAUGAAGAAAAAUUCAAGACCAGGGGAAAUAAGGAAAUAUUAAACUUAUAGCUUUUGUUUUAUCAUAGAAAGUUUACUUUCAAGGGGUUGAGAAAAAAUUUAUAUAUAUAUAUAUACACACACACAUACACACACACACACACACACACACGACAAGCUUAAAACGGUUAAACAUUAGCAUGCAUGAUCCUUUUCUUCAAAACUGAAACUUUACAAAUGUUAAAAAUAGAAUAACAAAUAAAUUAUUAGAUUUCCAAAAUCAGUUACCGUUAUGCAGGCUUAAAACAAAAGUUAAAUAUAAGCUCUUUUUUUUUUUUUUGGGGGGGGGGGGGGGGGGGGGGCGUGUGUGCCUAUGAGUAGUCCCAGCAAAUGAAUUCUAUGAUCAAACUGAAAUUUUUGAAUUUUCAGGAUGAUGAAAUGAACAGCAUUAGAAUUCUGAUUAAUUCAGCCAUUCCGGAUCCGGAAGUCAAGGGUGGGUUAAGAUGGCCCAUGGGGAAGUCAUAUUCAGGGGAUUACACAAUUGUUGGGGUUUGGCACAAUGAAUUUAAAUCAUAUAAAAGCCCAUCACUAAAGCUUAAGGUAAGAAAUGUUGAUCGAUUUAUUUUCAAGACUGGAACUGGGGAAGCUACGAUUGAGAUUAAUCUAAAGUUGAGAAGACUAGUUUCAGAGAUUCAGGUACUUGCUGCUUUUUGCUUUAACUUUUAUCACAAAACCUACUAUCUUUGUGCAUGAUUACAUGGAUCUUGAAAUUCUUGCUGUUAUGUCAUAAUGUUAAUGCAUAUUUUGUCUUCACGCAUUUCUUACUGAACUUGUGUCUUGAGCUGUAAUUGUAAUUUCCAAUUUUUACUAUUAGAUGGGUAUUUUAUUGGGGAUUUCUUUACUUAAAAAAAAAAUAUGUUUGACAGAGAAUAUUUUAACGAUGAGAUUGCAAUAUUGUAAUAGAUAAUCUUCAGGAACUCUUUUUACCUUUUAGUAGUUAUGCAGUUGCUCCUCUGUGUUAGCUUAUUUAUUCUAUCAUAUGUAACGAAUGACUUUUUACCAAAUUUGAUUUCAAAGCUGAGCUUCCAGCUUAUGACUAAUAUUUGUGUCUUGCACUUUUGUUUUACAAUCACCAUUAGAUGGAAGAGUGCUUAGAGUUAGUUAAUUGAUUCAAUCCCAGGAUUAGUCUUUUGAAACAUAAAAUUUAUCGGCUAAGCUAUAUAAAUCUGUUUCAUGUUUCUUAUCGCACACUAUUUCGUAUGGCUUUGUCUCCAUGCUCAUACAAAAUUAGUGUUGUAUUAGAUGUCUUCUGUCUUUCAUUCACAUGUACUUAUUACUUUUUCUUUCAAUCGUCAGGAUGGGGAGAUUGAUACUGAUUCCAUCUACAAUGGGUUUAACGACAACUUGAGGUUAAUAUGGGACCAUUUCUUGUCAUGGGAGUCAUAACUUUUGACAAAAACAACAGAUUGCAUGCUCUCCCCGCUCGGUUCAUAUUUGCGUUUGUGUGCAUCCUGCAGUUGAAGAUGUAGAAUGAUGUAAAUGCAAGAAUAAGAGCAUGUUCGUAUCCAAUGGUAAAAUGUUUUUGCUAAAAUGUAUGGACUUGUAACAGCUUGUUGCGUGAGUUUCUCAAUCUCCUGAACCUCAAAUUUUGUCCUAUUUUCACCCCGGCUUUUUCCCCCCGUCCUCUGUAAUAGUUAUAUUUGGUAUAAGUUUGGCAGUUCCUGUGUAAAGUGUUUCAUAUUCAUGUGUGGAAUAAAUAUCAACAUCCAGAUACAAGAAAGUUUGAUUUUAUUUGUAAGACCUGUCUCUCAAAGUUAAUCUAGUGACAUGCUUGAAGCACUUGGGAUCCACUAGUUGGAUGUAUUUUUGUUAAGAUUUAUUUAGCAUUUUGUAUGUGUAUCAGUGCCUUUUUUUUUUGUUGUUAAACCGUUGGUUAGAGGGCAAAUAUUUCACAUUAAAGUGGGGUCUGCUUGCCACCAAGGGAGAUGCCUUUCCCAAAGCAAGAAACGAAAACUCAAAAGCCCACUUCAUAACUUGUGUAAGAAGGAGAUGUAAUUGACAUAUGCUGUCCUUUUUCUUGGUGCGUGUAUGUGUGUGUAUACACACUUAAUUCCGAAGAUCAACUGAGCCAACAGCCAAAACUUGAAAGCAAUUUUAAAAUUUUCGGUUAGUAUUGUACUUUAUAUCUUUUGAAUUUCUCUUUAAUUUAUUAUAUUUUCACUUUAGUUUUGUUUCUGGGUACUCUUUAUGGGCCACAAUUAUGGUACCACUGUGGUACCAUACCACAGCUGGAUCCAGCCAUUGGAUCCGGCCUACAGUGGUCCCCAUAGCUGGAUCCAAUGGCUGGAUCCAGCUGUGGUAUGGUACCACAGUGGUACCAUAGCCGGACCCCUCUUUAUGUGCUUUUCUUCGAUGAUUUUGGUGAGCUCAUAUUUUACUGUUUCCACUGGUUAGUUUAGUUAUUGUCUACUAAGAUAAAAUUAUUUGCUUCAAUAACAUAGAGUAUUGAGGUGUUGUAAUUUAAAAUUUUAGAAAAAAAUAUAUUUAUAAAAUAAAAGUUAAUAGUAUGUGGUAAAUAUAAUUUUAAAAUAAUAAUUUUAAUAAAAUUAGUAAAGAUAUAAUAGAUUUUCAUCAUAUAAAAGUAAAAUCAAAUCAACUUAAUUUCUAAACUACAUAAAUUAAUUUUUAUAAAACACUUUAGUGCUGUAACUACCCAACCUCAAUCUAAAGUAUAGCCUUAAUUGUUUGCUAUUUUAUUAUGUGAUUGUAUAUAGAGUUAAUUAAUUGUAUCAAAUGUCAUUAUAAAUGAUGCAUGAGCAAUUUCAUAUUGUUUUUCUUUCCUUCAUUGAUAAUUGGCUUGUCGGAUAUCUUUGAACUUUUUUUUUUCGCCUCAAAGUUCUUUUAGUCUGCAGAAUGUUGGUUUUAGUUUCGAUCUUGGUUACUGCAAUAUUUCAUUCAUUCUUUCUAAGCAUAGUGGGUUCAUUUCACAAAAUUCUGUAAUAAGUACUUAUUGUAGUUUAAGGUAGCGCGAAGUAAUAUUAUCGUAAUGUCUUACAUUCCACCACAUAAGCAGCAGUUUGUAAUCAAGACUGCAGAGAAUCUUGCAGAUAUAUUGACUAAGGUGGUGACGACAAUUAAGUUUGAGCAUUAUCUAAACUUGAUCAAUAUCUUACAAGUUUGAAAAUAGUCAGAGAAGACAGAGACUGGAGGAUGGUUUGUUGAUAGUCGGCUCAGAUUUACUAAAUUUUCGUUAAGGUAGAGAAUUGUUGAAAAAUCAAGCAUGCUUGCAUGAGCUAGCUAGCAUGCAAAUUUCAAGCCCACCAAUGUUCAGCUAGCGUGAUCCAAUUGCAUGUGCUAGCAUGAUCUCUUCGUCAAAAGUCACACCAAAGCCAUUAAAAUUGAAAAUGGCCAAAGUUUUUUUUUCAUGCAUUUAUAUUGUAAGAUUUGCCUAUAAAUAGAGGAGUAGAAUGCAUUUGUAAAGCAUCCCAAUUUGUGAGAAGUAGAGAGCAAUUGCAAGUGAGCUCUUUGAGAGAAUUUGAGAGAGCUUCCACUUGAGUGUUCUAGUUGUUGUGCAAAUUUUAAUGUACUCGCAAGCGCACGAAUCUAUUGUAGUAUAGAUCAAUGGUGACGAGUGUCGAUCCCACGAGGAGGUGGAUUUUAAUUGUGUAUAGAAUUAAUUUUGUAAAUGGGUGGUUGGAUCUGUGGUGGAAAUGAAUUGGAAUAUGCUAAAACUUAAAUUAAAAUGGCGAGAAUAAAUUCUAAAAUUGGAAUUGCAAUGGCGAGAAUAAAUUGAAGAGAAAUGUAUUGAAAUGACGUACUUGGGUAUCUGGAUCCGUAUCAACAUGCAUCAUGGGCUAAAUAAUCCGUAUUAAUGCCAAUUAAAUCAUGAGGGGGGAAUCCACACCUCAUGAACCACGCUCUAAUCAAUAUGGUGCUAAGGGCUUAUCGUGCCAAAUAAUAAUAACCUUAUACUAGAGAGCCGGUGUAACCAAGGCGGUAUCUAGACAAGAUCAGUAUUAUUUGUCGACGAUAAGUCAAAUCAUCCACAAAAACUAGAGGGGAAAAGAAAAUAAAUUUACCAAAUAAAGCCCAUGACACAUGUUGAGACUUCACCUUCAACCCAAGCUUGAAAGGAAAUUAGCUACUCAUAAUUGAACUAGGGGCAAAAUGAAAAUUUAUUAAAAUACGAAGAAAAUACAAGAUGGAGAAGGAAUUACAGAAAAUGGAUCCCAAAAAUGGAUUCAGAGAUAUCAAAUUAGGGGGGGGAGGCCCCUUUUUUAUAGAUACAUGGAGUAAAUCAUGGCCAUCGGAUUAAAAACAGUUUGGACGCUCAGGAUUGCGCCACGUCAUCAGUCAACAGUCCACGGUUUGACCACGCGGAUGAACAGUAACACGGUUUGACCACGCGGAUGAACAGUAACGCGGUUUGGUUGAAAAUAAUCCUGUGUGAUGCAUGCACCGUACGCGAGAUUUUUCGUCCACUGAUAUGCUGCCACGUCACCAUCAACAGUACAUAAGAAUUUUAGUCCAACAGGAUCGUGACACCUCAUCAGUCAAUGCCACAUCAUCGGUCAAUGCCACGUCAUCGAUCCGUCUAUGUGAACAGUGUCGUGAACAGUAACGUAGACAGUACCGUAUACGUGAAUAGUACCGUACAUGUGAAUAGUGCCAUUUUUCUUUUUAUGCCCCUCCUAAGGUUUUCGACCGUCCUGAGUUCAAAAGUGAUGUCCGUUUUGCCAUCUGAUCUCUCCUUUAUUGUGAAAUAACUAUAAUGCCCCUAAAAUACAUAAAAUACUUAAUUAAAAUAAAACACAUGUAAUUAAAUCACAAGAAGGUUAAAUACAUAAAAGUAAGGGUUUUUAAUAAGACUUGAAAUGUAAAAUGACGGUUUUCUCCUUUAUAAAUAUGCAUUUUCUAACACUCAACACACCCCCCAACCAGCUUAUUGCUAGUCCCUAGCAAAUAAAGCGAAAACAAAAUUCAAAUUCAAAAUGAUUUUUUUUUUUUUUUUGAACUACUCGUGUUUAUUCAAUCAGAUUAAUGAUAGCAAUCAAAUAAAAGUAUAAGCAUUAUCUCCAGUCUAAAGCAACAUCACACCCACAUCAACCAUCCACAUGAAUUAGCCCAGUAGACUUUGUUAUAGCUACUUUCAAGAAUGACAUGUCAAACCCCAAAAUCUCACUUGAAGUAGUGACACUCUCACAAAGAAAUUAAAACCCAAUAAACAUAGUCACUCCAAUGAAUGGUAAUUGAGAGAGAAAAUAAUAAAGAAAUGAUAUCACAUGCUCUCACCAAGAUGAAAUAAAUAUGCCCUCAGCUUAGAAAUAAUGCGAUCUCAAGUCAAAUAAAAUGUUAGUCAACCCACUUUAUUUAUCUUUUUUUUUUAUUAUUAUUAUGCAUCACUACAUCUUUUUAGCCCAUAUAACUAGCUUCUACUUCAAACUAUAGUUCCCUAAAAUCAAGAAGGACUUUUAUUAGGACGUAACGUAGGCUAGGGAUAUGGCUAACAAAGAAAGGAAAUAAGGAAAACAAAGUGUAUGUUUGAAAAAAAUGCAGAAUUUUUUUUUUUUUUUUUUUUUUGGAACUUGCAAGGUGGAUUUCACCUAUUAUUGUUAUUUUUAUUCUUUUGAAACAACAACUUUUGUUUUUGUUUUUGUUUUUUUUGUUUUUUUUUUUUGCUUUUAUUUGGCAUAACUUCACUGAACAACAUAAUUAUUUACAUUUUCUCAAACAUAAAUAGGUGAUGGAACUUAAAAGACAUUGGGUAAUACUCCAAAUCGGAGUGGGUCAAGAUGAUAAGUUGACAAAGAAAAGGUUUUUGUUCUUUUUUUUUUUUUUUUUUUUUUUUUUUUUUUUAAGGCUCAAAAGGGGUAACUAUGGAUAUUUAAUAAAAGGGAUGGCUAGAAAGGCUCAAACGGAUCAAAGAUGGCCUUUCUAUCGUCUUUUAGGGCUCUAAAUAAUUAUCCAUAUCUACUAGUUAGAUGGGCCUCCCAAUGUAGCAACACACAUUUUUUUCUUUUUUCUUUUUUUUUUUAAUUUUACCAUAUUUUUUUUUUUUUAAAAGGGUUAACUUAAAAGAAAUCUAGAGAUCGUGUAUAAAAUAAUAAACUGCUAAGCUGUAUAGAGAAUGGGUAAAAGGGUUACUCUCCAAGAAAAUGAUAGGCUCAACUACUCACUUGGCACUUAUUUAUGACAUGUUCAUUCCUUCAAGCAACUCAUAUUUGUCUCCGACAUCAACAUGUAAAGUAGCAAACAUAGCGUAACAUCACUUAAGACCAAAGAUAAUACAAAUACUAAAAUUUGAAAUUAGUCAUGUCAUCCAAUGUUAAAACAAAUAACACAAUUUUUUUUAAACAACAUUCUACCCCCCAACCUAUUCUAAACAUGAAAGGAAAAUAUGCAUGCAGAAAUGUGAAAAUGAUGUAGAAAAAUUAAUUAGAAAAAGAAUUUUUUUUUUUUUUUUUAAACUAAGAAGAUGCGUUUCUAGAGGCACUACACUCCAUAUUCAGCCAUCUUCGACUCAAAAAUUUGAAACUACAUAUUUAUAAAGGAGAAAGAGGAAGAAAACAGGUUUUUUUUUUUUUUUUUUUUAAAACGAUGAAGAUGCGUUUCUAGAGUAACUACACUCCAUAUUCAGCCAUCUUCAACAUAAAAUGUUAGCAACAGUUAGUUUCUACAACAAAAAAUCAGUAAAAACUUAACCAAGAUUCCACAAUUGUCGACUAUUCCCUUCCCCCAACUAGAACGAAACAUUGUCCUCAAUGUUUUAAAGGAAAGAAGUAGAGUUUAGAAGACAUCACCUGGGUGGUGCAACACAGAAGAAAAUAUUUACAAGCGGAGAGUUAAAUCUAAUUUGUACUUCUUACUGCGGCUACUGUUACCAUCAUUAUUUGGUCGCUCCAACACAAAGGUCCAGGGGUCUGGCUCCGGUUUAUAAGCUUGUAACAUAUCAAGUAGCUCAUUAGCAGUGUGAGCACAAAUAAAGAGUUUUUUCACAUUAGAAGGAAUGAAAUAGUUUUUUAUUGCAUGGUUAAGAAAUGCGAUAAAGUCAUCAUAAAAGUUAUUGACAUUUAACAAACCGAUAGGUUUCUGGUGGAUGUGCAGAUGGGCCCAAGAUGCUAGUGUCAUAAGUGCCUCUAGUGUUGCAAGAUCUCCUGGAAGGAAAAUAAAAGCAUCAGCAUGAUUAAGCAUUUCAGUUAUUCUUUCUUGCAUACCUGAGACGACUAACUCUUCUCCAGUUGAUGAGUCAGACGAACUGCCCAAUGGUUUUAGGACUCUUGGGAUGAUGCCUAACACUUGACUUCCUCUGAUAAAAGCUGCUUCUGAGACCAUUUUUGAUAACCCUCGGUUACCUCCUCCAUACACCAAAUGUAAUUUUCUCGCUGCUAUGCUUCGACCAAGAUCUAUGGCUGCCUCAACGAACUCUUUAUGUUUGCCAUAGGUAAAUCCAGAAAGCACACAAAUGUUCUUGAAUUGUCUAUUGGGAGUAGCGGCCAUUGUGAUACUUCUCAAAAAUAAUUUGUGAGUGCUUGACAAAAAAUAGAUCACAUUUAAGAAUCUUGGUGACAGUGGAUCACAGCUGUGAAUGAGGUAACAUGUCAGUGUGAAAUAACGCGUGAAGCACAUGGCUUGCGAGUCAAAAAGGAAACAGUAAAAAGGAAAAAGCAAACAGUAAUAAAAUUAUUAAAGACAAUAAUGCAAACAAUAAAACAACAGUGAAAUGAAAUAAAAUAACAGUAAAGUAAAAUGAUAUUUACACGUAGUUGCGACUGUGGCUCACAUCUUCCUCUGGUUUUACGUCCAGAAACGGCUUGAACGCCCUCUAUGGGUCGAGGAUGGGCUUCCCAUCCAGUUUUCUUAUAAACUGGCAAACAGGGUCGUUUAUAGUCAGAUUCCCGAGACUAUAUCGUGCAUGCUCUUUCUGGAAUAAUGGCCAUAACCGGAGAAUCGCUCCUUGCACAUAUCCACUGGGAUGCGUUUCAAGAGACAAAAGGAUAUCAUCCAAUGACUCCUUAUUCAAGCCAUCCCUAAUGAAUUGAAUCUUAUCUUCCCUGUUAUCAGACACCAUUCCUAAAGAACAUGGGUUUCUAUCGCAACUCAUUCUGGCACACUUAUGACAAGCAACAGAAAUUCUUCGAGCUCGUCGUUUUCUUGCAUAAUUGCCUUUACCACAACCAGGCAUGUAUGCAAUAAAUUUAUGAGGUAACUCACCUGCCAAUCGUACUUUAGCCUCGAUUAACCAACGGAUGUCUGCAGGUAUGUUAUUCCUCAUGAGCAAUCGCAUGCGUUCAGACCGGGCUUUAUAGAUUGUAAGGAGGGCAUUCUGAGGAAGUGAAGGGAAUCGCUUGUGAAGCUUUGCUAAAAUCUCGUUUCUAUCCAUACCUUCGCCUCAGAAUAUCAGUUAUUAUGGGAAACUGAAGUUAACCGACUUGAUUGUCACGGAGUACCGUUAUCCGCCACUUCACCGGGGUAACAAACUAAAGCACACAAACAGAAAAACAAAUUAAAACACACAAAGAAAAUUAAAAUCGUCCUCUUAUUGAAUUUACCUCAAGCUCCAACUGGAUGUCGUAAACACUUCUCUCAAUGUCUCUGAGUUGGCGUUCUAAACCCUCAACAUAGGCUACUAACUCUGGUGGUUGUAGAGCCCAAAUGCGUUGUGUUUUACAAAAUAGAAUCUGCCUUUUGAGAUGAGUUUUGACACGUUGAAGUGGUUUAAGAAUGUUCAGGAGGAACGGUCUAAGUAUGAGACUCAUGAUUAAAAAUGAUAAGAGAAAACUUAAUUGUUAAACAAACACACUUAUGCAAAAAUAAUUUCAAUUAGCAAAAGAAUAAUAAAAAGAAAGAAAGAAAAAUCAAAUCAAUAAAAAGAGAAAAAAAAAAUUAAUUCAAAUCUGGUGGGUCACUCAAAUUUAUUUCGGUGUCUUCUUCAUGUGGUUGGUACUCUAGAUAUGGCUUUAAUCUUUGACCAUUAACUUUAAACGUGACACCGUUCUUUGGGUCUUUAAUUUCAAUUGCCCCAUGUGGAAAAACAGUAUGAACAAUAAAGGGACCAGACCAUCGAGAGCGUAACUUACCUGGGAAUAGGUGCAAGCGAGAAUUGAAUAAAAGCACUUUCUGACCUGGAGUGAACGAUUUUCUCAUAAUUUGCUUAUCAUGGAAGACUUUCAUUCGUUGCUUGUAAAUCUUGGCAUUUUCGUAUGCAUCAUUGCGAAUUUCUUCAAGUUCUGCCAGCUGUAAUCUUCUUUCUGAGCUGGCUUGCUGCAUGUCAAAGUUGAAUUUCUUGAUGGCCCAAUAUGCACGAUGCUCGAGUUCCACAGGUAGGUGGCAAGCUUUUCCAUACACUAGCCUGUAGGGUGACAUCCCAAUCGGGGUCUUGAAAGCCGUUCUAUAUGCCCAUAAUGCAUCAUCAAGUCGUAAUGACCAAUCUUUUCUGUCUGGCCUCACCGUUUUUUCUAAUAUGUGCUUGAUUUCUCGAUUGGAGAUCUCAACUUGGCCACUGGUUUGCGGAUGAUACGGGGUCGCCACUUUGUGUGUGAUUGAAUACUUUGUCAAAAGAGCUUUGAAUGUUUUGUUACAAAAGUGGGCACCACCAUCACUGAUUAUCGCUCGAGGGAAUCCAAAGCGUGAAACAAUGUUGCUUUUCAAAAAUCCUAUCACCACUUUGUGAUCAUUGGUUCUGCAUGGAAUUGCUUCCACCCAUUUCGAUACGUAGUCAACACCAACCAAUAUGUAUUGAUGGCCAAAAGAAGGGGGAAAGGGUCCCAUGAAGUCGAUACCCCAUACGUCAAAAAUCUCAACCACUAAAAUUGGAUUUAGUGGCAUCAUGUUCCUUCGUGUAAUGCUCCCCAUUCGUUGACACCUAUCACAUGAAGAACAGAAAGUGUAAGCGUCUCGAAAUAUAGUUGGCCAAUAGAAACCACAUUGUAAAACUUUUGUAGCUGUUUUCUUAGCACUAAAAUGGCCUCCACACGCUUGUUCAUGGCAGAAUGAAAGGAUAUUUUGAAUUUCACUUUCUGGGACACAUCGCCUAACAAUUUGAUCUGCACAAUACUUGAACAAAUACGGGUCAUCCCAAAAGAAAUUCUUUAUUUCCGCAAAGAAUUUAGCCUUGUCUUGCUUGGUCCAAUGCUCUGGAAGUUUACCUGUAACAAGAUAAUUAACUAUAUCAGCAUACCAAGGUAAUACUUCCACAUUCAUUAAUUGUUCAUCUGGAAAUGACUCAUUCAAUAUUAAUGGAUCUGUAAUUGUGUCAAAAUGGAGACGAGAGAGGUGGUCCGCCACAACAUUUUCUGUGCCUUUCUUAUCCUUGAAUUCCAAGUCGAAUUCCUGCAAAAGUAACACCCAACGAAUUAGUCUAGCUUUUGCAUCUUUCUUUGUGAGAAGAUAUUUAAGAGCAGCAUGAUCUGUGAAUAUAAUUAUUUUACAACCAAUGAGAUAAGAUCGAAAUUUCUCUAAUGCAAACACUACUGCUAGCAUUUCUUUUUCAGUAGUUGAAUAAUUCAACUGUGCAUCAUUCAAUGUCAUACUAGCAUAGUAAAUAACGUGGGGAAUUCGAUCAACUCUUUGUCCUAAUACUGCUCCUACUGUAUAAUCAGAUGCAUCACACAUGAGCUCAAAUGGUAAGUUCCAGUUUGGGGCCUGAAUGAUGGGUGAUGAUGUCAACAACUGCUUUAAUUUUUCAAACGCCAUGAGACAUGAAUCAUUAAAGAUAAAAGGUACAUCCUUAGCAAGUAAAUUGCAUAAGGGUCUAGAAACUUUGCUAAAAUCUUUAAUGAAACGUCUAUAAAAACCAGCAUGUCCAAGGAAAGAUCUUACUUCUCUGACUGUUUUAGGUGGAGGAAGAUUAGAAAUGAGAUCCACCUUGGCUUUGUCAACCUCAAUACCUUUGCUCGAAAUGAUGUGACCGAGAACAAUACCUUGUUUUACCAUAAAAUGGCACUUCUCCCAAUUCAAGACUAAGUUCUUCUCGGUACAUCUCUGCAGAACUAGCGUUAGAUGAUGUAAACAUUGAUCAAACGAGUCACCAAAGAUAGAAAAAUCAUCCAUAAAGACUUCAAGGAAUCGUUCAACCAUAUCAGAAAAAAUGCUCAACAUGCAUCGUUGGAAUGUAGCAGGUGCAUUACAUAAUCCAAAUGGCAUUCUCCUAUAUGCAAAAGUGCCAAAAGGGCAAGUGAAAGUAGUUUUCUCCUGAUCUUUUGGUGCUAUGGGAAUCUGAUUAUAUCCUGAGUAGCCAUCUAGAAAGCAAUAAAAUUCAUGGCCUGCUAAUCUAUCAAGCAUUUGAUCAAUAAAUGGUAAAGGAAAAUGGUCUUUACGUGUGACAGAAUUCAACUUUCUAUAAUCAAUGCAUACACGCCAUCCUGUAGUUACUCUAGUUGGUAUCAAUUCAUUAUCAGCAUUGGUAACUACUGUGACUCCUGACUUUUUGGGGACGACUUGUACAGGACUGACCCAUGAACUAUCAGAAAUUGGGUAAAUGAUACCUGCAUCUAAUAGCUUAAGGACUUCAGUUCUAACAACUUCUUUCAUGUUAGGAUUUAACCGACGUUGCAUCUCCCUAGUAGUUUUAGCAUUUUCAUCAAGGUGAAUGUAAUGCAUGCAGUCUACUGGAUUUAUACCUUUUAUGUCUGCUAUGGUCCAUCCUAAUGCCCCUUUGUGCUCUUUUAACACAUCCAACAACUUACCUUUUUGUUCGUCAUUUAGGGAUGAUGAGAUGAUUACCGGUAGAGUGCUUUCUUCUCCCAAAAACGCAUAUUCCAAUGUGUUGGGCAAUUGUUUGAGCUCGAGUUUUGGUGGUGAUUCUGAUGAUGGGAUGAGUUUCUUUUCUGACGGUGCUAGUUGUUCUACUCUUGACUUCCAUUUAUUAGUGUCCAUGGAUGGUGCUGAGUCAAGUAGGGCGUUGACCUCUUCGACCGAUCUAUCAAUAUCAAAAUCCAAACCAAAGUGAGUUAAGCAUGUUUGUAAAGGAUCAUCACUAAGGUUUGAAAGAAAAGUAUUAUCAACUAUUGUUUCUAUUAAAUCCACAUCAACAAUUCCAUCAUCUGCACUGUGAGGUUGUUUGGCAAUGUUAAAGAUGUUUAGCUCCAUAGUCAUGUUGCCGAAGGACAAUUGCAUAUUUCCGGUCCUACAUUGAAUAUGAGCAUCUGCAGUUGCCAAGAAAGGUCGGCCUAGAAUAAUGGGGAUGUGCUUCCUUGAGUCCUGUAUUGGUUGAGUGUCAAUUACAAUGAAAUCAACAGGAAAAUAAAACUUGUCUACCUGGAUAAGCACGUCCUCCACAAUACCACGAGGUAUUUUUGUGGACCGAUCUGCAAGUUGUAACACCACUGGAGUUGGGUGUAAUUCUCCCAGUCCAAGUUUCACGAAUACAGAGUAAGGUAACAAAUUUACACUAGCUCCUAAAUCCAACAAAGCAUUCUCAAUUGUGUGGUUCCCUAUACUACAUGAGAUAGUGGGGGAGCCUGGGUCUUUGCAUUUUAAAGGAAUUUUAUGUUGGAGUAUAGAACUAACGUUUUCUGUUAAAAAUGCCUUCUUUUGAACAUGCAUAUUUCUCUUUUUAGUACAAAGGUCUUUAAGAAACUUGGCAUAAGAUGGAAUUUGUUUUAUAGCAUCAAGCAAAGGGAUAUUGACACUUACCUGUUUGAAGAUUUCGAGAAUCUCACCUGUGGAUUUUCCCUUCUUGCCUUUAGCUAACCUCUGAGGAAAUGGAGCUUUCGGAAUAUAUUCUCGUGGGUUGGUUUCUUCUCUCUCCUCCGGUGGUGAGUCCUCAGCAUUUACAGGUACAAUUUGAUUUUCUUUUGUCACCUGCAUCUCCACUUUAUUGUCGACUUCUUUUCUUUUUCUCAAGGUCAUUACUGCUUUGACCUCUCCAUGCUGCUGUGGUGAACUGGUACUUGCUUCAUGCACUCCUUUAGGAUUAGGCACUGGUUGACUCGGAAACUUGCCUUUCUCAACAGUCAUUGCCAAGGUCUGAACUGAAGAAGCAAGCUGUCCCACCAUCUUCUCGAGGCUUGAAACUGAUUGGGCUUGUGAAUUGAAGCCCGCUCUCAACUCAUUUCGUAGUCCAUCAAUGGUGCGAUUCUGUUGCUCAAUCGUGGAGUGAGUAACAUUCUUGAAAUUCUGGAAUGCAUCCUCCCAUGGUCUGGGUUGAGAGUAGUUCUGGUUUUGAUUGUAUGGUCUAAAUGGUGGCUGAGAGGCUUGAGGAUUUUGAGGAAUUGGUUGCAUUGGUGGAGCUGGAGCUGCUGGUCCAUUCUGUUGAAAUCCUUGAGACCAUGAAAAAUUGGGGUGGUCUCUCCAUCCAGGAUUAUAUGUGUUGGAGUAUGGGUUGUAAUUAGAUGGCUUUCUCAUUACACCUAUGGCAUUGGCUUGAUCGGAGUAUGAGUCAUGGUCAUGUGGUUCUGUUGAUUUAGCAGUCGAUAACGAUGCUAUUUGUCGAGCAAGACCUUCAACCAUCUCCUUGACUUCUUUGAUUCCCGAAGUUGACUCGCCAAUGUGAACCUCAUUCACUCCUUUAAUCCUUCUAGUAUUCCUGAGUGAUCGACUCCGUUGUUGGGAAUUAUCCGCUUGUCGCUGGAAGAAUUCCCAAAUCUCUGUUGCGCUUUUUGACAUUAGCUCUCCUCCACUUGUUGCCAUUAGCCAUUCUUGCACAUUCGGCAAUAAUCCCUCCAAAAAGUAUUGGCAUUGGUGCCAUUUUUCGUACCCAUGAUGUGGACACUUCAAGAGUAGUCCAUUGAAUCGCUCCCAAGUUUCGAAAAACUGCUCGUCCUCUCUUUGUGUAAACUCUGAAAUUUCCCUGCGAAUAGAAUUGGUUUUAUGCACUGGGAAAUAUUUAUUUAGAAAUUUUGUUACCAUUUGUUCCCAUGAUGAAAUGCUAUUGGCAGGCAAUGUAUUAAGCCAUGAACGAGCUCUAUCCUUUAAAGAAAAUGGGAAUAGUCUAAGUUUUACAUCAUCAUCUGAAAAAUUUUCAUAUUUAAAAGUUUGACAAAUAGCAUGAAAAUCAUUCAAAUGAUUAUAUGGGUCCUCAUUUUCUAGGCCAUAAAAUGUGGGGAGACAAUUUAGCACACUAGGUUUUAAUUCAAAACUCCUAGCAGCUACAUUUGGGUAUCUUAUGCAUGAUGUGCUCAAAUUAGCUAAGGGACUAAAAUAGUCCUUAAAUGGCCUCUCCUGUGGUGCUUGUAAAUCCAUUUUAUUUUUAACGUGUUUGUGUGUGCGAAGUGUUUUUUCUAAUUCAAGGUCUAUAGGUUCAAUAUUAGGUAAUAAUGACCUACGACCAUGCAUGCAAAAUAAAUAAAAUAAAAAUAAAGAUGCAAACAAAACAAAAAAUAAAGAUGGGAACAAAACAAAUAAAAAAUAAAGAUGAGAACAAAACAAAUAAAAAUAAAGAAGAGGGAGAAAUUACGAUACUAACCUCAUUGCGCUAUUACAACCUUACUAUAAAAAUACACAAAAAUAAAUACGUGAAAUAAAUUAACUAAAAAUUAAAUUAAUAAGAUAAACAAAAAUUACAAAGAAAAAAUAAAUUGAAAAUUAAAUUACAGAAUUUUAAAGAAGAGAAAAAGAAAAGAAAUACUAACCUUUAAAUGUAGAUUUACUCUUUUUUUUUAAAGAACAAAAAAAAAAAAAAAAUACAAGAAAACAAUUUAAAAUAAAUUAUUCACAAAAAUUAAUUCUAUGAAUUAAAACUACUUACCUCCCCGGCAACGGCGCCAAAAACUUGUUGUGCAAAUUUUAAUGUACUCGCAAGCGCACGAAUCUAUUGUAGUAUAGAUCAAUGGUGACGAGUGUCGAUCCCACGAGGAGGUGGAUUUUAAUUGUGUAUAGAAUUAAUUUUGUAAAUGGGUGGUUGGAUCUGUGGUGGAAAUGAAUUGGAAUAUGCUAAAACUUAAAUUAAAAUGGCGAGAAUAAAUUCUAAAAUUGGAAUUGCAAUGGCGAGAAUAAAUUGAAGAGAAAUGUAUUGAAAUGACGUACUUGGGUAUCUGGAUCCGUAUCAACAUGCAUCAUGGGCUAAAUAAUCCGUAUUAAUGCCAAUUAAAUCAUGAGGGGGGAAUCCACACCUCAUGAACCACGCUCUAAUCAAUAUGGUGCUAAGGGCUUAUCGUGCCAAAUAAUAAUAACCUUAUACUAGAGAGCCGGUGUAACCAAGGCGGUAUCUAGACAAGAUCAGUAUUAUUUGUCGACGAUAAGUCAAAUCAUCCACAAAAACUAGAGGGGAAAAGAAAAUAAAUUUACCAAAUAAAGCCCAUGACACAUGUUGAGACUUCACCUUCAACCCAAGCUUGAAAGGAAAUUAGCUACUCAUAAUUGAACUAGGGGCAAAAUGAAAAUUUAUUAAAAUACGAAGAAAAUACAAGAUGGAGAAGGAAUUACAGAAAAUGGAUCCCAAAAAUGGAUUCAGAGAUAUCAAAUUAGGGGGGGGAGGCCCCUUUUUUAUAGAUACAUGGAGUAAAUCAUGGCCAUCGGAUUAAAAACAGUUUGGACGCUCAGGAUUGCGCCACGUCAUCAGUCAACAGUCCACGGUUUGACCACGCGGAUGAACAGUAACACGGUUUGACCACGCGGAUGAACAGUAACGCGGUUUGGUUGAAAAUAAUCCUGUGUGAUGCAUGCACCGUACGCGAGAUUUUUCGUCCACUGAUAUGCUGCCACGUCACCAUCAACAGUACAUAAGAAUUUUAGUCCAACAGGAUCGUGACACCUCAUCAGUCAAUGCCACAUCAUCGGUCAAUGCCACGUCAUCGAUCCGUCUAUGUGAACAGUGUCGUGAACAGUAACGUAGACAGUACCGUAUACGUGAAUAGUACCGUACAUGUGAAUAGUGCCAUUUUUCUUUUUAUGCCCCUCCUAAGGUUUUCGACCGUCCUGAGUUCAAAAGUGAUGUCCGUUUUGCCAUCUGAUCUCUCCUUUAUUGUGAAAUAACUAUAAUGCCCCUAAAAUACAUAAAAUACUUAAUUAAAAUAAAACACAUGUAAUUAAAUCACAAGAAGGUUAAAUACAUAAAAGUAAGGGUUGUUAAUAAGACUUGAAAUGUAAAAUGACGGUUUUCUCCUUUAUAAAUAUGCAUUUUCUAACACUCAACACUAGUGAGGUUCCAUUUAGGUGUAUUGGGGUUGUGGGUUUUGUGAGUUUUUUCCACUUUUGUAAAUUCUCAUUAUUAGUAAAAUUAUCUUCCAAUCUUUGCCCGUGGACGUAGGCAUUAUGCCGAACCACGUAAAUUAUUGUGUUUAUAUUUUCUUUGUAUUUGUUUGGCACAUUUAUAUUUCUCCAAAAGUUACAUUCAUCGUAAUAUUGGUAAUUGCUCAACCUCGCACUUCCGCAACAAUUGGUAUCAGAGCAGAAGGUUCGUGCUUGGGGCAUACAACAUUGUUCACGUAUACGGAACUGUUCACAAAUACGGUAUUGUUCACGUAUACGGUAUUGUUCAUUGAUAUGGUGGAGAUGGUCAUUUAUACUUGGGAGACAGUCUAUUGAAAGUAGUGUGUAUUUUUUCAUGUCUAGGAAAGUCCUGUCAACAAGGCGAUAAAAGCUUAAGGAGUCUGGUUUUAAGUGGGACCGUUGUGACCCCUCCAUUCUCCUAGGAACUUUCCUGGUGCAUUUAUUCAUGCGAAAUAAAUAUCAUAGAGGCUAUUUUUCAAGUGUAAAUAGUUGUUGAAGAAACUGAUCAUUUGAGAUAAAAAUGAUGGCAGAGGCAUCGUCGUCGUCGUCGUCUUCAUCAGCAAGGACUACUGUGACUAAUGCAAAGUUUGAAGUGGAGAAAUUCAAUGAUACCAAUAAUUUUGGUAUGUGGCAAUGUGAGGUGUUGGAUGUCUUAUGUCAGUAAGAGUUGGACGUUACUCUUAAAGAAAAGCCUGACAUAAUGGAUGACAAGGAGUGGAUAAAGAUCAAUAAACAGGUAUGUGGUACUAUUCGCCUAUGUUUGGCUAAAGAUCAUAAAUACUUUGUUAUAAAGGAGACAUCGGCAAAGAAAUUGUAGGAGACAUUGGAAGAAAAAUAUAUGAAGAAAAGUAUAUAAAGAAAAGCCUUAAAAAUAAGCUUUAUAUGAAGAAGAAACUUUAUCUAUUCACAUAUACACCUGGCAUGUCGAUGAAUGACCAUGUAAAUUCAUUCAACAAAAUAUUGGCAGAUUCACUAAAUUUGGAUGAGAAAUUUGAAGAUGAAGAUAAGACACUGUUGUUUUUUAAUUCCCUUCCUGAUGAAUAUGAUCAUCUCACUACCAAUUUGCUUCAUGGGAAGGGCAGUGUCACAUUCGAUGUUGUAUGCAGUGCAUUGUAUAACUCUAAGAUCAGAAAGAAAGAUAGAAAAGAUCACAGAGAUACAGUUGUAGAAGCAUUAACAACUAAAAGUCGUUCACAAGGCUGUAAACUUGGAAAAAGAAGCAAGUCUAAAGGGAGACCUGCCAAAGAUGAGUGUGUUUUUUGUCGCGAGAAAGGACAUUGGAAAAAGAAUUAUCCUAAGUUACAAAAGGAUAAGGCUUCUUCUUAUGCAUGUGUAGCAGAGUAUGAUGAGGAGUCAGACUUUAGUCUGGUUGGCAUGACGUUGACAUGUUACUUAGAUGAGUGGUUUUUGUAUUCGAGUUGUGCUUAUCAUAUGUGUCCUAACAAGGGUUGGUUUUCUAACUUCAAGGAGCUGGACGGUGGAAUUGUUUUUAUGGGCAAUGACAAUGCCUGUAAAACCUUGGAAAUAGGUACAAUUCAAUUAAAAAAUCGUGACGGUUCAAUCAAAGUCUUGACGGAUGUUCACUACAUACCAAGUUUAAAGAAAAAUCUCAUCUCAUUAGGAGUCCUAGAAUCUAAAGGGCUCACAAUCACUCUGAGAGAUAGAUUAUUAAAGGUAGUAGCUGGCACACUAACGGUGAUGAAAGACACAAGAAGAAAUAACUUGUACUAUUUUCAAUGGAAUACAAUUAUUAGAUCAGCAUCAACAGUUUUUGGAAGAGAUGCAGAUUCAGAAGCAACCAAGUUGUGGCAUAUGCGUUUGGGACAUGCUGGUGAAAAAUCUUUACAGACUCUAGUGAAGCAAGGCUUAUUGAAAGGUGCAAAUUCUUACAAAUUAGAAUUUUGUGAACAUUGUGUUUUAGGCAAGCAGACAAUGGUAAUGUUUAGUUCAAUAAUUCACGAUACAAACUUCCUCGGGGGAGCAUUAAAACCUUCGAGCAGAUGUGCCAGGAAUUUGCAGAGCAGUUUCGUGGGGCAAUGGCACCAGAAGAUGCCAUGAUGGAAUUGAAAAACAUGAAGCAGGGGGAAUAAUAAACACUUCGGGAAUUCAUCAAGAGGUUUUACCAUGUUGUCCUUGAUUUGGGAGCCUUCAACCAUCCUCAGGCAUUAAGGGGACUGAAAGAAUGGGUGAAGAUAGGAAGACUGUGGUACAACUUGAGAAGCCCAGUUAUUCAGACGUACGCCGCCGCAUACAAGCAGGCUAAGAGGGACAUUGAGAUUGAAGUGGAAAAGGCAGCACGGAUCAAGACAGACCAGUUAGAUGGGUUGGGGAAGAAAGAGAAGAAAGCAUUGCCAGGGAACGGGCCGAUCAGGAGGAGAGACCUUCAGGCCUCAAGUAGUGGAGCAGGAGAUCGGGUAACUACUGGCCAUCCUCAUCAGAGGCCACCACAGUAUCGGCGCAGCAGGGCGCAACCUCCUCGUUCCCCAGCUAGGGAGCCUUGGAGAAGCCAUGACUCGGCAUAUGGUGGUCUUCAUCAACACUCCCACGGUAGUAGGGGGCAGACCAGAAGUGCUGCCACCGCCUCCAACUCAGAACGGAGCAAAUAGAGAAAAAGCAGUGCACCUGAUCGACCAGAACCAGGACUAUGGGCAGUACACUUCCUUAAAGAUGUUCCUGGACGAGGUGUACGAGGCCAUAAAGGAUCGAGGGUUGCUAUACCUCCCUGCCUCAAUAACAAAACUACCCAGCAGGAGGGAUAAGGGACGCUAUUGUAAGUUCUAUGGCGCGCAUGGCCGUACUACAACAGAAUGUAGAGAUCUAAAGACCCAGGUCGAAGAUUUGGUGAGAAAUCGAUACCUGGACGAGUUUAUAGAGGGGACUUUCCCGAUGGUGGCCUCGACAUGCGAGGGGGAGCAGAGUGGCAGAAAUUUGAGGCACGAGUAGCCUACAGUAAGGGUGAUUGCUGGGGGCCCGACAUUGGCUGGAGAUUCCAACAGAUCUAGGAAGAACUAUGCUAGAUACGCCAUGACUAGUAAAGAGGUAUUCUUCAACACCCCGGCAGCCAAACGAGCAAGAGUCAGGCAAGUGCCAAUCAUGUGGACAGACGAGGAUGAAAAAGGGAUUUUAUACCCACACGAGGAUGCCUUAGUCAUCAAGGCCACUGUUGCUAGCAGGAAGUUUGACCGGAUACUAGUCGAUAUAGGAAGCUCGGUUGAUGUGUUGUUCAAGUCCACUCUAGAGGAGAUGAGAAUAGCAGACCUGAGGUUGGAGCACACCAACACCUCCUUGAAGGGAUUUGGAGGAGGAAAGCUGGUCCCCCUGGGUGUGGUCGAGCUGCCUAUCACAAUCGGAAGCUCCCCGACAGAAAGGACUAUGAUACUAGAUUUUGUGGUGGUUGAUGAAGAGGGUCCUUACCAGAUAAUCCUAGGUCGGCUGUUUCUGAGGAUGAGUAAAGCAGUACUGUCCAACCAUUAUCUUGCUCUCAAGUACCGGGUGAAUGGGGUAGUUGGAGUGGUACGAGGAGACCAGAGAAUCGCACGAAGCUGUUACUCCUCGGCAGCAAAGGAAUCGAUACAGAUAACAUCCCUUGAUACCCGAGUGAAAGCCAGGAAUGGCAACUUAUUGGACUCGGAGUUUACAAGCUGGUUCGCAAGGACGGCCACGAGGUGAAAUGCCCAUGGAACGCAGCACACCUCCGAAAAUACUUCCAGUAAGACUUGUUCACAUUUGAAAGCUAUUUCUGCUCGUGUUCAUUAUCGUUUAUCUUUUAUGUUUUAUAUCCAAACAAUUUCAUGUAAGUCGAAUCCUGCCAUUAAUGGAACGUCGAGGAAUUUCAUUCGCUUGAAACUGUGAAAAUUUCCUAAGGCAUGCAAAGGCUCGUCAAGUCUCAAAGCCUGUUUAUGGCGAGACCAGAAGCCAAGCGUGCCAGGAUCUGCUCGGCCACGAGAAGGCGAGCAGAAUCCCAAGCUUUGAAGAAAUUACCUAAGGCAUGCAAAGGCUCGACAAAGUCUCAAAGCCUGUUUAUGGCGAGACCAGAAGCCAAGCGUGCCAGGAUGUGCUCGGCCACGAGAAGGCGAGCAGAAUCCCAAGCGUUGAAGAAAUUACCUAAGGCAUGCAAAGGCUCGUCAAGUCUCAAAGCCUGUUUAUGGCGAGACCAGAAGCCAAGCGUGCCAGGAUCUGUUCGGCCACGAGAAGGCGAGCAGAAUCCCAAGCGUUGAAGAAAUUACCUAAGGCAUGCAAAGGCUCGUCAAGUCUCAAAGCCUGUUUAUGGCGAGACCAGAAGCCAAGCGUGCCAGGAUCUGUUCGGCCACGAGAAGGCGAGCAGAAUCCCAAGCUUUGAAGAAAUUGCCUAAGGCAUGCAAAGGCUCGACAAAGUCUCAAAGCCUGUUUAUGGUGAGACCAGAAGCCAAGCGUGCCAGGAUCUGCUCGGCCACGAGAAGGCGAGCAGAAUCCCAAGCUUUGAAGAAAUUAUCUAAGGCAUGCAAAGGCUCGACAAAGUCUCAAAGCCUGUUUAUGGCGAGACCAGAAGCCAAGCGUGCCAGGAUCUGCUCGGCCACGAGAAGGCGAGCCGAAUCCCAAGCUUUGAAGAAAUUGCCUAAGGCAUGCAAAGGCUCGACAAAGUCUCAAAGCCUGUUUAUGGCGAGACCAGAAGCCAAGCGUGCUAGGAUGUGCUCGGCCACGAGAAGGCGAGCAGAAUCCCAAGCUUUGAAGAAAUUACCUUAGGCAUGCAAGGGCUCGACCAAGUCUCAAAGCCUGUUUAUGGCGAGAUCAGAAGCCAAGCGUGUCAGGAUCUGCUCGACCACGAGAAGGAGAACAGAAUCCCAAUCAUUGCAGAGAUUACCUAAGGCAUGCAAAGGCUCAUCAAGUCUCAAAGCCUGUUUUAUGGCGAGACAGAAGCCAAGCGUGCCAGGAUCUGCUCAACCACGAAAAGGUGAGCAGAAUCCCAAUCCUUGAAGAAUUGAAGGCAUGCAAAGGCUCGUCAAGUCUCAAAACCUGUUUAUGGCGAGACCAGAAGCCAAGCGUGCCAGGAUCUACUCGACCACGAGAAGGCGAGCAGACUCCAAAGCAUUCGAAAAAAUUCCUAAGGCAUGCAAAGACUCACCAAGUCUCAAAGCCUGUUUUAUGGCGAGACAGAAGCCAAGCGUGCCAGGAUGUGCUCGACCACGAGAAGGCGAGCAGACUCCGAAGCAUUCGAAAAAAAUUCCUAAGGCAUGCAAAGGCUCACCAAGUCUUAAAGCCUAUUUUAUGGCGAGACAGAAGCCAAGCGUGCCAGGAUCUGCUCAACCACGAGAAGGCGAGCAGACUCCGAAGCAUUCGAAAAAAUUCCUAAGGCAUGCAAAGGCUCACCAAGUCUCAAAGCCUGUUUUAUGGCGAGACAGAAGCCAAGCGUACCAGGAUCUGCUCGACAACUAGAAGGCGAGCAGACUCCGAAGCAUUUGAAAAAAUUCCUAAGGCAUGCAAAGGCUCACCAAGUCUCAAAGCCUGUUUUAUGGCGAGACUAGGAGCCAAGCAUGCUAGGGUCUGCUCGACCACGCGAAGGCGAGCAGAAUCCCAAGCAUUGAAGAAUUUUCAAAGGCAUGUGGCAAAACCAUGUGCCAAGCCAGAACCUGCUCGACCAGACAAAGACGAGCCGAUUCUCAAACGAAAAAUAACUCAUGAUUACGACACAAGAAAGUAAUCAAAAAUAUUUUUAUUAAUUUGUUAAUAAUUAACAGAGGAGAUAAUCUUCACAAACAUUGUUCAUUACAAUACAAGAAACAUAUUUAAGAAGAUGGUGGGUCCGCAAGCCGAGCAUCCUCAGUUAGAUGGUCCACCUCAGGUGCUGGGGGAGUAUCUCCAGUUGCGUCUGGGGGGGUACUCGCCUCACCAGCAUCAGCAGGGAUUACACGGGGAGGAGAGUUUUCCUCUUCUAUCACCAUUGGUGCCACCUCUUCGGCAUCCUCCUUUGCAGCCUCCUCGUCCAUAUGUUGGGCGACACCAGCUGCAAGGUCGUCCAUCUUUAGAUCAGGAUGCUGCUUCCCGAGGACGGCCAUGAUGCAACGAUAAGAAUGCCGAAGUCCCUGGUCGUACUGGUUGUCGGCCUCCUUCUCCAAGUUCUCGACCUGACCUCGGUGGGAAUCGCGGAGGGAUUCGAGCUGAGCCUCAUACAUAGCCUUCUGCCUUUGAAGAUCCUCCUUGACCUUGGCCAGCUCUUCCUCGAGAGUAAUAGCCUUGGCUUGAGCAAGAGAUUCUCGCUCAAUCAACUUCAGAUUCUCGAGGUUUAAGUCCCCUGCUUUCUUCUCAGCAACAUCAGCUCUGGUCGUCGCCGACUGAAUGUCCUCCUUCAUCUUCCUAUCAUAACGGCCAACCUUGGCCUUAUAGUAGGUGGUCAUGCAGCUGAGAUGGAAAGCGCUAUACUGCAUGGCCCCCACCAGCUCGCCUAAGGUGUAGCCAUCAAAGUCCUCGAGGUCCUUCUUGCUCACGAUUUUGGAAAGCUCGUUGAGAUAGGGGGCCAAGUGUUCUGCUCGGCUGUCAGGUAAACGAGAUCUAUGCCCGACAAGAGGCGAAGAGGAAGCAGGAUCAGUGGCUGCUCCACUGGUCUCGUCGAGUUUGGCAGAAAGAAGAGGUAAAGUCUUCAAGGGAGAGACCUGCUGCACGAUGUUGGCCCGCUUUGCAGUAGGGGCAUCCUUGUUCUGGUCCCUCUUCGUGGUUUGGGGUCGAGAACGUUUCCUGUUUAGAGCCCCAAUCACGGCGUCCUCCAUCUUAUGACCAGGGAGUAUCAAGCGAGACUCGAGCAAGUUGUAUGUAGUUAUCAGCUCCCGGCUCGAGCAGGAAUUGGCUAGCACAGCCUCGACCCGUUUGAGCUGGCCAGGUUUGAGCGAGAAAUGAACACCCCAAGAAACUACAACACAAACAGACACUUGGUUAGAGACAAACCAACAAAGCGAGAACAAUUACGGAUACAAGACAUCUAAAGCGAACAGGCAACCUGGGACCGUGAAACGGGGUGGAACGCGAUAAUCCUUCCCGUCUAUUUGUGCAACUUGACCCCAAGGACCCCCAGCAAAAAAGAAUUUCCUCUUCUAAUUCCCACCACCACCAGUAGGGAGGUCGGUUAUGGGUUUCCUGGUCUUGGUACUAGAUUGAAAGUAGUACCAGCCGGCAUCUUUGGGGCUGCUCUUUAGCUGGUACAGGUGCUUCACCUCAUCAACUGUGGACUCGCUUUGGCAACAUCUGUCCCACAAUAUGAACAGACCAGAAAGUACUCUCCAACCAUUUGGGUUCAGCUGACCAGGAGAUAGAUUCAGCCCGUUAAGUAUCCGGGCAAAGUAAGGUUGCACGGGACACCUCAGCCCAUACUUAAAACUAUCCAGAUACAGGGUAACGUAUCCCCUAGGAGGCCGGCUAGGAGUAUCCUUCUUUCCUGGGACCUUAAGAGGGAUUUCACCAGGAAUACUAUACCUAAGCCGGAGGUCAUUGAGCUCAUCAAACGUGGUUAUGCAUGUCAUGUAAUCAAUAGCGUAAUCCCGCGAUAGGGCUCUACCUCCUAUUGUACUCCGCCCUUCUGGUCGCGACGCUCCUGAUGGGGACACCUCGCCAGAAUCAUCUCCUCGGCCCUCACUCAGGGUGUUCUCCGAGCCAGAAGACCCCUCUUCAUCACUAUCUCUGCUCGAGGAGGUCGUUUACGGAGACAUCCUCCUAGCGCUAGUGCCGACACUAGAUCUAAUGGGCUCUAAGGGGAUCCCGGGGUCAAAAGCAGGAUCAGUGAGCAGACUAGGCAGGAAGUCCAACUCAUCGUCGUCAACCUCAAUGACCUUCUCUUUACCUUUCGACAUUCCCUAAACUCUAACCACAACACCACCACCAACUACUACCCGAACAAAAGAGAACAAAAAUUAUCUACAACUAUCCGAGACCAAGGAGAUAGAAGAAAUACCUGAAGUAAUGGUUCAGUCGGUGAAAGACAGAGAUGGAGGCCUUUAUGCCGGAACUUCUUUGCCGGAGAGACAGGGACGGAGACAGAGGGAAUGAUGAAUUUGCUGUUUGAAAGGAUUUAGGUUUCCUAAUGGGGACGGCCUCUUGGGUUGCCAGCAUUUAACGGCACCAAAUCCCAAGGGCCUCGUAACCGUUGGUUUGAAAUUCGAAUAGAGGGGCAGAUUUCUGCCACAUCACCUCGUCCGCAAUUAAAUGCGAUAUGACUCUUGGCAGCCUUUUCCAGUCCCACGCGACCAAGAACCGCUAAGUUUCUACUGCUGGUCCAUUACAUUACCCAACACCAGAAACUGGGGGACCGGUGUUUGAGGGAAAUACUCUGACGAGACCAGACGUGAUGAGCAGAUGUUUGGUGGUAGAAGUCUGCGAGCAGGUGUGUCCUGUAAGAGCCAGGUAGCAGGGGAACAGGGGCAGGAAUAUCCUGCUCAUCCACGAGCACGUCAUCCGCGAGGCCAAUUUCCUGUAAGAAGCAUAAAGCCAUUCCUGCUGUAUUCUUGCUAAGGGUUGAUUCGAGGAGACCCGGUCAACGACAGUUGGCGAGGCAUGCUCUCCAGCCCGAGAAUCUAGGCACGAAGGCCACGCAACCACCCACGACUACGGAAAUGGGGAAUCCACGUUCGAGAGGUGGGAGGAUAACGGACGUAGACUGCGGAAAACUGGGAUUCAGAGGAAGCCUAUAAAAAUGUAGCCAACGAAGGUAAAAUGGUUAGCAAUUUUGAGAUUAGAAGGGAGAUAAAGAAAUUCUAAAGAAGAGAAAACUACCCAAAAGCCAUAAGAUCUGUGGCAAGCGUUCCCCGAACCUUCAUAUCUGACUUGAGCGUCGGAGGGUUUGCGUCGGGAAAACAACCGGCGUACUCUGACUUGUCUGUGUGCGCAGGAACCUCUGGAGAAGAAGCUUUACGAGGAGAGAUCCUGGUCGUGGUGAAGUUGAUCGAGCAGAGACCCUGGUCGUAGAACGAGGAGAACCAGAAUCUCGCAUCAACAAAACGUGUAUUUCAACCUGAGUACUAGCGAUUACCAGUGACUGAUUAACACUUGUUUUAAUUGUAUUCAGCAGUCAUAAAAAUUUACUUUUUCUUGUUAUUUAUUUAUACCACACAUUUUGACUACCACAAACUUAAGUUGCUUGGCUGACGUAUUUACCACAAAUAAAAACUAACAUUCGAGGUUUUUCUUUCGACAUUUCUAUAGAUGUUUUAACAUUUUAGAUUACAAUAUUUUUCAAAACUUGAUUUAGUCACUGAUUGUUGACUACGACGACGACAAAAAAUCUAUUUCGUUGUGAAAAGGAAUCCACAAGAGUACAAGACGGAGCCUUGAUCCAGUAAUAUUACGGAAAAUGGUAUUUUGUUUCCUUACAAAUGAAGAGAGGUUCUGUCUUUGCAGUGGGUAAGGUGAGGGUAUAGAACAUAUUAAUGGCUUUACUUAUCAUCAUCAACUUCCUUCUGUGUCUCUCAAUCUUUGUCUUCUUCUUUGUUUUGCAAAGGAACAUAACCUCAAGAAAUAAUACUAAAUUACCACCAGGCCUCCGGGGCCUUCCUUUCAUCGGUAACGUGCACCAGCUUGAUGUCUCAAAGCCUCACGUGUUAUUUUGGGAACUGUCAAAAAAAUAUGGCCCCCUCAUGUCCUUGCGUCUUGGGUUUUCGCCAUCCUUAGUAGUUUCCUCGGCGAAAAUGGCUAAAGAGAUAUUACAAACCCAUGACCUUCAAUUUUGCAGCAGGCCAGCCUUGGUAGCACAACAAAAGUUAUCUUACAAUGGUCUUGAUUUAGCGUUUUCACCCUAUGAUGAAUAGUGGAGAGAGAUAAGAAAAAUUUGUGUCAUUCAUCUCUUUAACUCUAAUAGGGUACAAAAUUUUCGACCCAUUAGAGAAGAUGAAGUUUCAAGAAUGAUUGAAAAGAUUUCAAAAUCAGUUGGUGCUUCUAAUCCCGUAAACUUAAGUGAGGUAAUGAUGUCUCUUACCAGCACCAUUAUUUGUAGAAUUGGUUUUGGCAAGAGGUACGAUGAAGAUAAAGCAACAAGUGGAAGAAGUAGAUUCCAUGCCCUGCUUAAUGAAACUCAAGCCUUGUUUGUAAGCUUUUUUGUUACAGAUUAUUUUCCUUUCAUGGACUGGAUUGAUAACCUCAGAGGAAUGAUGAAACGCCUGCAAAAUAACUUCCAAGAACUCGAUGGAUUCUACCGGGAACUCAUCGACGAGCAUUUGGAUCCAAACAGAACUAAAUCAGAAUUGCCGCAACAGGAGGAUAUAAUUGAUAUUUUACUUCAAAUAAGAAAAGAUCGUGGAUUUAAAGCUGACUUGACUUUGGAUCACAUCAAAGCAGUGCUCAUGGUGAAUAAUUUUAUAAAUAGUUAUAUGUAGACCGGUGCUUAGGCACAGACUCAAAAUUUUGCGCAGAUACCCAAUUUUACAGUCUUGUAAAAUGUUUUAUAGUGCUGUCAAGUGCUCUCUGAUGUCCCCAUCUGAGCACGAUUAACUUAAUAUAGUUUUAUUUGCUUUAACUAAUCUUAUAUGUAUAUAUUUAUGUUCUUUUUUUUUUAAUUUGCUUUUUUAAGUAAUUUAAUAUGUAUAUAUGUAUGUUGUUUGUUUGGCAGAACGUAUUCGUUGCUGGAACAGACACGAGUGCUGCAACUGUGGUUUGGGCCAUGACCUAUCUAAUGAAGAAUCCUAGAGCAAUGAAAAAAGCUCAACUGGAAAUCAGAUCGCUGAUUGGGGGCAACAAAGGGUUUGUUAAUGAAGAUGAUGUUCAAGAACUACAUUAUCUUAAAGCAAUAGUGAAGGAGACGAUGAGAUUGCAACCCACAGGUCCAUUACUAAUCCCAAGAGAAUCAAUUCAAAAGUGCGUAAUAGAAGGGUAUGAAAUACCAGCUAAAACACUUGUCUUUGUAAAUGCAUGGGCAAUAGGAAGAGAUCCUGAAGUAUGGGAGAAUCCUGAGGAAUUUUAUCCGGAGAGAUUCGCUGAUAGUUCUAUUGACUUAAAAGGGCAAC
rnacentral:lncRNA from 1 species